AAUGAUUGGAACGAGGCGAAGUGUUUGCUUAUUGAGAUGAUGGACCAAGGGGUACAGCCUAAUGUUGUGACUUUCAAUGUCAUCAUGGAUGAGCUCUGCAAGAAUGGAAAGAUGGAUGAGGCAAGUCGGUUGUUGGACCUGAUGAUUCAAAUUGGUGUGCGUCCAAAUGCUUUUGUCUAUAACACAUUAAUGGACGGGUUUUGUUUGACAGGUAGAGUUAAUCGUGCGAAGGAACUAUUUGUUUCUAUGGAGAGUAACAGGUGCAUGCAUGAUGUUUUUAGUUACAGUAUUUUGAUAAAUGGUUACUGCAAGAAUAAGGAAAUAGAGGGAGCGCUAAGCCUUUAUAGCGAAAUGCUCUCCAAAGGAAUUAAGCCAGAUGUUGUUAUAUAUAACACCUUGUUUAUUGGCCUUUUUGAAAUACACCAGGUUGAGCGUGCUUUCAAGCUGUUUGAUGAGAUGCGGCGUGAUGGCGUGGCAGCUGAUACCUGGACAUAUAGAACCUUUAUCGAUGGGCUCUGCAAGAAUGGUUAUAUUGUAAAGGCAGUUGAACUAUUUCGUACUUUGAGAAUUCUCAAGUGUGAACUAGAUAUUCGAGCCUACAACUGCCUCAUUGAUGGAUUCUGUAAAUCUGGCAGACUCGAAAUUGCAUGGGAACUAUUUCGUAGUUUGCGUCGUGGAGUCCUAAUAGCAGAUGUUGUAACAUAUAACAUCAUGAUCCAUGCGCUUUGUGCUGAUGGGAAAAUGGACAAGGCACAUGAUUUGUUUCUUGAUAUGGAAGCAAAAGGUGUAGCACCCGAUUGUGUCACAUUUAACACGCUGAUGCUAAGUUGCAUCCGCAAUAAUGAGACAUCAAAAGUUGUUGAACUCCUUCACAGAAUGGAUGAGAGAAAUGUAAUACCAGAUGCAUCUACACUUUCAAUUGUUGUGGACUUACUUGUAAAGAAUGAAAUUAGCUUAAACUCGAUUCCACAAUUCAAGAGUCAAAGGUAAGUGAGUUUAAUAUUGAUUUAGUCGCAUGUUUUUUCUGCCUGAAAACCCCGAUCUGGAGGAUCCCAUUCUUAUUACAACAUGUAAAGGAGUGUUGUCUAAUGUUGGCAUGUUCCUAGGUUCUGUCCAUGGAUUCUGUUUGCAGACAUGGCUAACUUCUUGUCCAACAGAUAAGUUUUAAAGUCUUUCGACUUUAUGCUGUAAAAUAACUUUUUUUUUUUUUUUUUUUCAAUUCAUGAGUUUUCCUUCUGUAACACAUACUUCUCAUUAGCUUGAAGUGCAAAUUUCUUAGGCUUUUCCUGUAUGGCCUCUUUUUCUGCUCUAAAUAAAACGGCAUUUUAUUUCCCUGUGAGGGUAUAAGGUUUAUCUUUAAACUUUCUGUUAGUUAAAUUUGUUGUCUUUGAUAUAGGGAACUUCCAGUUGAGCUGAUUUGUAAUUCGAGUAAAUGAGAUUACCAACUGUAUUGGGAAUUGAUGCCAAAUUAAUUAUGUCAUCAGGUUUUUCAAUCAUUGUUCAUCAUUUAUUUCUGUUAACAAUUAAUAGCUGCCUCAUUGAUGGAUUGUGCAAAAUAAGCAAACUGAAAAUUGCUCGGGAACUGUUUCAAAGUUUGCCUCGUGCAGGCCUACUGCCAAAUGCUGUAACAUAUAACAUCACGAUUCAUGGGCUUUGUAACGAUGGGCAAAUGGAUGAGGUACAUGAUUUAUUCACGCUUCUGUCUAUAACACGUUAAUGGAUGGGUUUUGCUGGACGGGUAGAGUUAACCAUGGGGAGGAACUAUUUGUUUCUAUGGAGAGUAUGGGUUGCAAACAUAAUGUUUUUAGUUACAGUAUUUUGAUAAAUGGUUACUGCAAGGAUAAGGUUGGGUGUGCUUUAAAACUGUUUGAUGAGAUGCGGCGUAAUCAUGCGGCAGCUGAUACAUAUAUAUACGGUACCUUUAUUGAUAUGGAAGCAAAGGGUUUGGAACCCAAUUUUGUCAUAUUUAAUACGCUUAUGCUGGGUUUCAUCCGCAAUAAUGAGACAUCAAAAGUUAUUGAACUCCUUCACAGAAUGGAUAAGAGAAAUGUAAUGCCAGACGCAUCUAGACUUUCAAUUGUUGUGGACUUGCUUGUUAAGAAUGAAAUUAGUUUAAACUCGAUUCCACAAUUCAAGAGAAACAAGCGAAUGAGCUGAAUGCUGAUUUACUUGCAUGUUUUUUUUUGGCCUAAAAUCUGGAUCUGGAGAAUCCCAUUCUUAUUACAACAUGUGAAGUUGUGUUGCGUAGUGAUGGCGUGUCCCCAGGUUCUGUUCAUGGACUCUGUUUGCAGACAUGGAUGACUCUUUGUUUCAUCAGAUAAGUUUCAAAGCCUGGCAACUUUUUGUCGUAAAAUUACUUUUUAUUUUUCAGGUCAUGUGUUUUCCUUCCAUAAUGUUUCUUUUUCAUUUUCUGGAAGUGCAAAGUUUUUAUGCUCUUUCUGUAUGACCACUUUUUCUUCUCUAAAUAGAUAAAAUUGCAUUUCAGUUUUCCUUUGUGAGAAGGCUACUAGGUUUAUGUUGAAACUUUCUGUUAGUUAAAUUGAUUGUCUUUGAUAUCUAGAACUUCUAGUUCUACUGUAUUAAAAAAAUAAAAUAAAAAAGAACUUCGAGUAUAAUUAUGCAUCAGGUUUUUCAACGUGUUCAUCUUUUAUUUCUGUUAACAUUUUGGCUUUGGACAUGCUGGAUUGUUUUUGGUUUCAAUGAUACAAAACAUCUAACUAAUUGUCCAAAGUUCUUCAUUCCUUGUGACAUAGCAUUCAAUUGAAUGGUGACUCAUGAAUCAUGAUUGUGUGUUUUGGUAUUUGUAUACUAUGUAUUGGCAAGACAAAGUUUGUUGAAACUUGAGAAACUUUUCUCCGCCUACCAUUCUUGAUUCAUAUUCUUAUGCUAACAAAUCUUGAUCAUGAUGAGUCUCCUCUUUUCUUUACAACCCACAAAUAAAGUCCUGGCCAUAAGCCUCAAGGCCUAUUGGCUAUUGCAGCGGUGAGUUCACUCUCAGGAAUCAGAUCUUUCAAAUUCGAGGAAAUUUGAAAAAAUUGCAAAUGUCUACAAAGCAAAUGUGAUCUAAAGGUCCUUUUUGUUAUCACUCACACAACAUUACUCAAGAGUAUCUAUGUUUUACAGUUGGUUCUGUUGUGAAAUAGCAUUUCUGAUUAUUAUAGAAGACAAUUCUUCGACGCAUGUAUUUGAGAUGCGUAUAGAGCGUUGGAAUUAUAUGCUAAAGUAAGCGUGCAAAUGACAAUGAAGAAUUGAAGAAGGGGAAGGGUUUACUUGUCAUUUUGUUUUGGAAAGCAAUGCGUUUUAUGCGGCGAUUUUUUUUUUCUCUACGUUGUGAAAAAAUUUAACUGAUUUUGAAGAUCCUUAAAGAUCGUCCAUCUUGGUUCUGGCUUUGUUGCAGCCUUGAAGUUUGCAAAACGAUUCCUGCUGGAUAAAUUGAACUUGUAUACACACAUGUGAACCAAAAGAAAAAUGAUACAUGCACCGAAAUACUUGUUAAAUAGAGAAAAGUUUGUCUGGAUAGCCUGGUUUUGAAUUGAUUUUAAUAGAAAACGAGCUUCAAGCAUGUGCUCCAACUACUCUGGCAUGAGGUAAUACUAUAAUUUUUUUUUUUCUUUAAUGAGUGAGGCUAUAAAUCCUGAAUUCCAACUUGACAUGGCAUUAAUCUGGUGAGUGGCAGAAUAUUAAUCAAACAGAGGGGCUAAUAUGCUUUCUGGAAUAUGAUCCGCUGGCAACCGGAAAGCCAAGGAAUUAAUUAUUCCAUUAUUAAUUCCAAUGGCAUCGUUGUAUCAGCUAAAAAGCACAAGAUAAAACAGAUCUACGCACUUGCCCCAUUUAUUUAAGCAUACUGUUGGUUUAGCAUUUGCUUAAAUUUGAAAGUAGAGUGUUUCCAUGCCACAUUGCCAUGACAUUGGUGAUUGGCCUACAUUUUUUUUUUUUUUUUGUGUAAUCUUUUUUGGUUGCAGUAAUAAAAUGUUAAUCCUUUCUUCUCAUGAAUGUUUUCUUGAACUGAAAUGUUAAUAAUUUCUUCAUGUUGAGGCAUUAAACUACUACAGACCUAGGGUGGCAAUAUAUGGAAGUAAAUGGUCGUUUAGUAGGACCCUUUAAUUAGGGUAUUAGCUGCUCAAUUUGGAGAUCUCAUGGACCAACAAUUUAUCUGGAAUGUCACAUUCACAUAUUUGAUUGAAAAAGGAAUUAAGGAAUUUCAGGUGGCCCGGAAACGCAACCGACUAUACCCGGCAAUGGCAGAAGACAUUAUAGAUUAUAGAUUAUUGAGUUAAAUAUGAAUGGUGGGAUUUCAGGUGGCCUAAAAAGUUAAACAUGAAUGUUCUAUUUAAGGUGCUCUGUAACUCGUAGUUCAACAAAAAGUUUUAAAACUAGAUAUUAAAAUGGUGGGAUUUUGUCUUUUAUCUCUUGUUUCUCUUCCCUUAAUCGUUUCUUGGCAUGUUUUAUCAACUCUUCCCUUGGGUCAUUUUGUAGGACGGGUUACACCAGCUAAACACAUGGGAAGGUUAUGUAGACUGGACUCUGGAGGAAUAAACCUGCCCUGAGAGGCCGUCAUGGGGGCAUGCUUUGCUGCUUGUUUUGUCUUGGGUCUGUCUAUUUUUCCUAUUACUAAAGCACAUUUUCCACCGUUUUCUCACAUGCUUACCAUCAUGUAAAAACCUUAGCUGCUGCGUACGAUUAAACGUUUACACUUUAUAGUAAAAGAAAUUACAUAUUAAGAGAAAUAUUAUAUUUGCAUGUUGAUAUGAAUUAGCACUAGAAACAUGAGGCUUGCUAAUUAGAAUUGUUAUAUUGUCGAACUCAGCUGUGGAGGUACUGGAGAAUCCAGUAUAUCUGGCCAAUGCAAGCAACCUUGUGCUGUAUCUUUCAAAAUUUAUGCAUUUUUCAUCAUCCAGCUCUGCAAACAUAGUUACCAAUUUCAUGGGUUCCUCUUUGCUCUACUUGGCUUUUUAGCGGUUGCUUUCUUCAACACCUACAGCAUCUAUGUCAUAAGUGCGGCAAUAGAAUUCACGGUAAGUUUUUUGUUAGGAUCAAACUUUUUAACUUGUUAUAUUUUUGUAAUUUCUUACUAAUAAGGGAGAGUUGCCUAUUUUUAUCCGAUUAUCAUGCCUCAUACAAUUUUCUUGGGAUUUGCUUCGAUGCCUCUGUGACUCACUAUGAAACUCAAAAACUUUCUAAAACUAGCUCCAAAUACACAUUUCUUUGGAUUAAACUUCAUCUGGUACUUCCUCAGCAAACCAAAGGUUUCUUUCAAAUGCUGCACGUGGUCACUCGAGUUGUGAGAUUUUGUGAUAAUGCCAUCCUUAUAUGCCUCCAUUAUGUUCCCAAUCAGCAGCUUGAAGAUCUUAUUCACGAAUCUCUAGUAUGUUGCUCAUACAUUUUUCAAGCUAAAGAACACGACAUUAUAACAAUACAGCCCUUGGUUAGUAACAAAAGAAGUAUGCUCCUCAUCCUGAUCGAACAUCGGUACAUGGUUGUAAUCCAAAAAGGCAUCUAUAAAUGGUGGUAAUGGUUUUACUGGAUGGUCUAGUGGUUCUAAUCAUACUGGUUUUGGUUCUCAAAAUAGAGGGCUACUGUCAACUCCAGGACGUGGGAAUUUUUCCUCUUCGCCAAAUUUCAAUCCUGGUAAUGGUCCUAUCAACAAACCCCCAAUGGGUCUUUUUCCUUUUGGUAAUCGGAUUCAAUGCCAAAUCUGUCAGAAAAUGGGUCACUCAGCUAUUGAUUGCUACAAUCACAUGAAUCAUGCAUAUGAGGGUCGUAUCCCUCCCCAUCGGCUUUCUGCAAUGAUUUCUACAUCAACAUCUUUUGGUUCCCCAAAUUGGUUAACAGAUACUGGUGCUAAUGCUCAUAUAACUCCAGAUAAUGGGAAUUUAAUGCAUCCUCGUGAUUACAAUGGUCAGGAUACCAUCGGUGGUGUCGUCGGUGGUUCAGGUUUGCCUAUUAAAUCCAUUGGUCAUUCUUACUUAUCUGCUAAUUCUUCCACUUUUCUUUUAAAUGAUGUUCAUCAUUGUCCACAAGCUUCCCAUAGUAUUUUAUCCGUUCAUAAAUUUGCUAAUGACAAUCAUUGUAGUUUCACCUUCUUUCUUGAUUAUUUUGUUGUAUAGGAUCUGACAACGAAGAAGACAUUUUUCCGCGGACUGAGCAGUAAUGGUCUUUAUCUAUUUCCUGGUCGAAUUUUUCAACCUAGUCAUCCAUUUGCUUAUGUUGGUGUUUGUAGUGAUGCUCGAAUUUGGCAUUCACGGCUUGGACAUCCUUUGUCCGUAGUUUUAAAUCAACUUAUAUAUUUUAAUAAGCUACUCAUUUUAGGAUCUCGAUCUUUAUUUUUUUGUUCGUCAUGUCCUUUAGGAAAGAGUCAGAAAUUACCUUUUACAUGUUCUUUUUCAGUCUCUCAUUCUCCUUUGGAAUUAAUACAUUCUGAUGUUUGGACUUCUCCUAUUCGUUCUAUUUCUAGUUAUAAAUAUUAUGUUAUCUUUAUUGAUAAUUUUUCCAGAUAUGUAUGGCUUUAUCCUAUGCGAUUGAAAUAUGAUGUUUUUAUAAUUUUUAAAACUUUUAAAUCGUUGGUCAAAAAUAUGUUUUCCACUACUAUUAAGUCACUUCAAACUGAUGGUGGUGGUGAAUAUGUUAAUCAUCAGUUUAAGGAUUAUCUAAAUACUCAUGGCAUUAAUCAUCGUCUCACAUGUCCUCAUCAUCCUGAACAAAAUGGUAUUGCUGAACGUAAACAUAGACAAAUUGUUAACAUGGGCUUAACUUUACUUGCACAUGCCUCCAUGCCUACUACUUAUUGGACUAAAGCUUUUUAUACAUCUGUAUAUUUAAUCAAUCGUCUACCAUCUCAAUCUUUAAAAUUUCGAGUACCGUACUCUUUACUAUUUUCUAAAACUCCUCAAUAUGAUUUUUUAAAGAUCUUUGGAUGUGCAUGUGUUUUCUUGGGAUACUCAUUCAAUCAACAUGGAUAUCGUUGUUUGCAUAUUUCCUUCAGGCACUGUAUUUAUAUCUCGUCAUGUUCUUUUUAAUGAAAAUUUAUUCCGUUCGUUGACCAUGUUACUACUAGGCCUCCGGGGGUGAGUACUUCAAUGUCAGAUUCUACAGGACUUAAUAUUCUUUGGAUUAAUGCUAAUACUUCACAUUCAGCUCUAACAGAACCUACAUCACAAUCUCCUUCCCAAGCCAAGUCACCAUCUUCAUUUAAUUCACCUUUACCCCAUUCCUUAUCAUCUCCAAUUAAUUCUCCAUCAUUACGUUCAAGUGCCUCUUUAUCUUCCUCCACUCCACUCAUCUCAAAUACAAAUUCUCUUAGCCUUAAUUCGACCCCCACUAAUUCAAGUAAUAAUACAAUUCCAGAAUCAUUAUCUUCACCUACACUAACACCAUCGAUGCCCUGUGAUAAUAUUAUCUUCUCAUCCAAUGGUCACUCGAGCAAGAGCCGGUAUUGUGAAACCAAACCCAAAAUAUGCAAAUGUAGUUACUAAUGAUGCUGUUGAGCCUAAUGGUUUUGUACAGGCAAAUAAGGAAUCUCGUUGGCGACAGGCAAUGGGUGAUGAAUUUAAUGCUCUUCAAAGAGCUGGUGCUUGGGUAUUAGUUCCUCUACAUCCAUCUUACAAUGUCCUUCUAAAUAAAUGGGUGUAUCGAAUUAAGCGAAAAGCUGAUGGAAGUAUUGAGCGUUAUAAAGCUCGUUUAGUUGCUAAUGGUUUUCAUCAACAACCUGGCCUUGAUUUUGGUGAGACGGUCAGUCCAGUGGUUAAUCACAAUAUCAUUCGUCUCAUUUUAGCUAUAUCUGUUACCAAUAGCUAGUCUAUUCGACAGUUAGAUGUGCAAAAUGCUUUCCUGCAUGGUUAUUUACAGGAGGAUGUCUAUAUGCGCCAACCUAUUGGUUUUGUUGAUCCACAAUAUCCAACUUUUGUGUGCAAGCUUCGCCGAUCUCUCUACAGCCUUAAACAAGCUCCUAGGGCAUGAUUUCAAUGUUUCUCUAGUCAUUUAGAACAAUUGGGCUUUCAUGAAUCACUAGCAGACUAUUCUCUAUUUAUUUAUUCACAUGAUUCAGUGCUUUUAUAUUUACUUAUCUAUGUUGAUGAUAUUUUAAUUACGGGAAAUAGUUCAUAUCAUAUUUCUCAAAUGAUACAUCAUAUGAGCAAAUUAUUCUCUAUGAAAGAUCUUGGUCCUGUACAUUAUUUUCUAGGUAUUGAAGCUACUCAAAUAGCAAUGGGGCUCCACUUGUGUCAAACCAAGUAUAUUCUAGAUCUUUUACAUAGCACUGAGUUCCUUCAUUCAAAGCCUAUGACAACACCAACAAUGAGUGGUCGUCGUCUCAGUCUGUUUGAUAGUGAUUUACUUUCAAAUCCCACCGAAUAUCGUAGUGUUGUUGAUGCUUUGCAAUAUCUUAUAAUCACUCGUCCGGAUAUUUCAUUUGCUGUUAAUCAGGUUUGUCAAUACAUGCAUCGUCCUACAACAACUCAUUGGUGUGCAGUUAAACGCAUCUUGCGGUAUUUGAAAAGUACAACCACUUAUGGUCUGCUUUAUUCAUCUGGUUCAAUGGAACUACAAGCCUUUUCUGAUGCCGACUAUGCUGGUGAUCCUGAUGAUCGAGUAUCCACAGGGGGUUCUUACAUAUUUAUUGGACCUAAUCUCAUUUCCUGGAGUUCUAAGAAGCAAAAAAGGGUUUCUCGUUCCAGUAUUGAGGUUGAGUACAUACAGCUUGCAUAUACAACUGCUACUUUAUCUUGGUUUCGAUCUUUGUUCAAAGACUUACAUAUUCCUCUGUCUUGUCCUCGCAUGUGGUGUGAUAACAUAAGUGCCAUUUCCUUGGCCUGCAAUCCUGUGUUUCAUGCCCAGACUCGUCAUGUAGAGGUUGACUAUCACUAUGUUUGAGAAAAGGUUAUUCGUGGAGAGCUUGAUGUUCGUUAUAUCUCUACUCUCGAUCAACUUGCCGAUUGUCUUACUAAAGGCCUGUCUACUUCUCGCUUUCGCUAUCUAAUUUCCAAGCUUCCAAUUCGUUCUUGUCCUGUCAGCUUGCGGGGGUGUGAUAACGAUAAAGAUAAAACUUAAAAUAUUCUUAUCGUUAGUCUUGUAAUUAUCUUUGUAGUUAUCGUUUGUCUUGUAAUUAUCCUUGUAGUUAUCUUGUAAGCUAAUGUUUAUCAUAUGUAUUCUUAGCUUGUACAUAAGUUUGUUUGAAGUCACUUGGAAUUUAAAAAAUCCUAUGCUUCAAUAUAUUAUUAAUCAAAUCCCCUUAUAUCUUGGUAAAAUCUUUUUUACUCUUUCAUUCGCAAGGAGCUGGAUGAUGGCUGGAAAUAAGGAAAUUCAUUUUUUUUGUUUCACCCCAAUUGUUCUUGUAUUUGCAUAUUGCCAUAUAUCAUAAAAUACAAAUUUAUGUAUGUCAAAAUGAAAUCGAUCUUAAAAAAAAAAAAGAUCUCGCGUUACUGCCGCUCACACACCCCCAUGCCGCAGCUGCUAUUAAUUCUGUUUGGCGCACCAGCAUUACAGCUUCUAGCUUUUCUUUAUUCCUUAAGUUGAUAUUGUUCCUCUUUAUAGGCUUCAAGUUAAUGUCGUCUUCAGUCAUUCUAGAGUCGCUUACUUUUGAUCUGGCUAUUGUUGUUUCUACCUCCUUCUUCAUUAAUUGCCGUCAGCCGCAUAAGGGAAGGAUGUAAGUUUAUGUUUACGAUUCCUAAUGGUGAUGAAUAAGACAUGGCGUAAGAGAUAUGUUAACUGAAUUUAGUGUGUUUUCUAGGAUCAUAUGCAAUACAUAUGUAUUUCUUGUAUAAUUGUUGUUUGUAUAUUGUAUUUCAAUCGGGCAUGGCUAUCUUUGUCUUACUCUUGUACAUUUCUAUUACUUUAGAUAAUUAUUAAGGUGUAGAUGGCUUUCACGGAUAAAUAAUAAGCCAUUUUAGGAGCUUUUCGUGUAAAAAUAUAGAACUUAUACUGUUGAAAUGUCGAGUAUACUUAGUAGUUGAUAUUUGUUUAUAUUUUUACAUUAAUCUGGGAUGGGAUUUGAACUUUAUAACCGAAAUUGAAUCUAAACCAAAAUUAAGAUAAGAAUAUUCAAACUAAAUCGAUCCAAAAUGCAAACCUAAACCAAAUUGCGCUAAAUUAAAUUUGAUUUAGUUUGGUUUGGGUUUACUCUCUAAACCUGAUUGGAUUGACUUCUCUAACCCAAUUAAGUUUGAGCCCAAAUUGAAACCUAAACAACCUGAAUCGAAGCCCGAUUUGCCCACCCUUAUGAUACGAACCCAUCCAAAAAAUAACGCAACCCUAAUCAAUUUAAUCUCCAAGAUUAAAUAGAAGCGCUACCCAAUGCUCAAUGAAAGCAUGAACCUUAGUAUGUGAGGACGCUACAAUCAGUUAUGGAUGAUUUGAUUAUAAGUUAAGAGUUUGAAUGACACAAAAAUUUGAUAAAUUUAAAGAGUUUGUUUAAGAAUAAAAAAGAAUUAAUUCUCUCACCAAUUGCAUCAAAAUUUAUUUGUCUUUGUUUAUUAGAUGCGAGUACAUUAUAUAGAAUUGGUUACAAAAAUUUUUAGAAAUAAAUCCUAAACCGAAAUCAAAUUGGAAUCCUAAUCUAAUGCAAAUAAGAAAAGAAUUUUAAUUAAAUCAGAAUCCUAAUCAAAGCAAGUAGGAAAGAAUCUAAAUCGAGUCAAAAUUAUAAUCUAAGUAAAUAGGAACGAAUUUAAAUUACACCAAUUAAAAUAAAAACUCAACAAUUAAAAUAGAAAUAACUUAUUGUUUCUCUACCAGCCUCAUCCAGAAAUGAGAAAGUAUUCAAAAAGAAAAGUAGUAUAUUUUUCAAAUGGAAAAGUAUUUGAAAAAGAAAAAUAAGAUAUUUUCCCGCCGUAAUGUGCAAGCCAACUUCUUAUUUUAUGGAAGUGAUUAUUUGGAAACUUUAAGAGCCGUAAUCAUGCAUUUAUCACGUGCAAUUCCUUUAAUAGGCCUCCAUAAAUUUGAUUGAGCCUCAAUUACUUGAAUAAACACAUUAAACGCUUCUUUAAAUUUGUUUGUUCGAGCUUUAGUGACAGGUCCGAUGAUAACUUGAAUAGGAUCUGAAUAUAUCUAAUCCCACAUACUUAUGAUAGUUUUGUCCUCAAUCUCAUCAUUUUACUUCCAUAAUCUCGACCCAAUCUUUAAAUUUUUUUCAUGCUAGCUUGACUUUACUAUGACUGCCUUGAGAUUUUCAACUGGUUUUUAUCUCCCUUUCUUGAAAUCUGUUUAAGUGUCAAGUUAUCUACGUGGCUUCUUUAGUCGCGGACACAUAAUAGCACCUAACAAUUCUCUAGUCACCCUGUACAACUUUCGCCACACUAUUUACUCAUUCUUUGAGUGCCAUGUAAUGGUUAGACAUCAUGGACUUGCUAAUCCUCAUAAAGGGUCUUCCAAAAAUUAUUUGAUAUGGGCUGUCUUCCUCGACUAUUAUAAAAAAUCUGGCAUGAUGGUCUUUUCAAAUGGUCUGGAGCCGAUUGUUACUAGCAGCUCUAGGCAUUAAUUUUCUUCUUCUAUGUCCUUUCAAAGAACUGUUGGUGUGCUUGUUGGGUAAAAAUUCAAAUGCUAUGGGUGUCAAUGUGUAAGUGUACACAACAAGUAAUAUAAUGAUAAGUAUUCAAGAUUAUCUCCACAGGAGUUGAUGUUACGGAAAUUACUACAGCAACUUUAACAAUUCUGUUUGAAGUGAAAGUAGAUUGAUUAAUUAAACUAAUAAACCACCUAAUAAAAUGCAAUAAGUAAAUAUGCAGAAAAGCAAACUCUCAUGUCAAACACAAAAAUAAAAUCAAUAGGAAUGAAGUAGUUGAGUGACUAAACUCUCUUAAUGGAAUUGACUAUUUCUUGCAAAUUUCGAUCCAGUUGCUACAGCACUGGGCAGAAUCCUCAUGCAUCAUCAGCUGUCGCAUGUUAGAUGUCUUAUAUCUAUAUGCAACCUAACAAUGACCAAUUGUUAUGCCAACAUAAUAUAUAACAUUACACAUUUAGGUUCUAUUACCCUAUAAGGUGAAUCUCUAUAUCUUGUUCAUCACUAACAUAAUAUAUGACCCUUUUUGGAAUCAAGUUGAACUCAAUUUAGGAACUCAAUCUAAAACUAAAUAUUAUUCUGAUAUGUUCCACUAAGAUAGGUCAUUUUGUGGCUCUUUCCUAGCUUGUAUCAUUAAGUGGGUGGUCAGCCAAAAUAAUGACUUUAAAUAAACACUAUCACAACAAAAUGUUAUAGCAAACAUGCAGCCAGGGACAUAGCCAGGAUUUUGAUCGAGUUGGGGCACAUUUAAAAUAAAAAAUGACUCGAAUGCGCGAUUGCUCGUGUGGUAAAUGUGGGCCCCACAAACUCUAAAUGGGAGCUUGCCACAUGUACAAUCGUGCUCCUUAUAGAGUGUCUCUGCAUGCAUCUAAUUAAAACGCUAUUAAAAUAUAAUACACUUCUAAAAAUUUAAAUGGCAAUAUAUAACAUUACAACUAUAAUAUUCAUUGAUAAUAAAUUUACUUAGUAUAAUUAUUCUCAGUGAAAACUCCUCAAUGAGAUUUUAUGAGUUGAAAAUAAUGCAUUAUCAAUAUAAGUAAAAAUAUAUUUUUCAAUCUACAAGACUAGGUUAUAACUUAAUUUGCUCUUAAAAUCUUUUAAUAAUAACAAAAAAUAUUUAUAUAUUGCAACACACAAAACAAAAUGAAUGCUAGAUAAAAUUCUAGAUUUUAAAACUAGACAAAAGAUUAUCAGAAAAUUAAAAAUUAGAAUUGGGUAGACUUACAACUUAUGGUUCAAUGUCGAAAGACCAACUAUUUAAUUUGGCUUGAAUAGAAAACAAAAAGAUUAAAGACUGGUCCAUUAACCAUUUUACUAACAUUUUGUUGUGAUUUUUUUUCAUUUUAAUAUUUGUUCUUGUGUCUUUAAUUGAGUUUCAUGAAAUGUUAAUAACUAAUUAAAUUAUUUAUAAUUAGAAAUUUAAACUAGGGACAAUAUGAAAUAUUUCAAAAUUACUAGAGUCAAUUUCAAAUUUUACAAUUCAGUUGGGGUAUUUUUCAUAAAUAACAAAUAAAAUACAAAUUUUUAGUAUAAUUUUUUUAAAAAAAAUUUAAAAGGCAGCAGGGGCAUGUGCCUCAGCUCGUCCCAUGCUGGCUCCGUCUCUGCAUGCAGCAACAUAUAAAUUCAGUUAAAGAGCCAUUAAAGUUGUUUAUCACUCAACCACAAGGAAUAUUAGUUCAUGAUUUUCAAAAGGAAACUAAACAACAAAGUUUCAGCCGGCAAAUACAUUCUCAUGUCAAAAAAUUAAACAAUAAAUCAAAAUAAGAAUAAGAAAGACUGAAUUCCAAUUGAUUCCAGCAAACUUCUCCACUGAUGCAGUCUUGAUUCUUGCUCCUGAAAUCUAUUUUUCCUUGUUUCUUUUCUAUUUAUGAUCUUGGUUGACGGCCUCCUUUUUUUCUUUUGUACAUGUGCCUAUGUUAUAGUACAAAAUUAGGGUAAAUGGAAGUUUAGAGCGCGCAUCUUCCCGAUUAGGAAAUUGUAGAUUGCAAUCCGUUAAGUAUCUUGCGCGAAAUCUUCUCCGUCAUUGUUCCCAGAUUGUUACAUCACGGUUUGCUACAACAAUAGCUACAGUAUAUGCACUGUUCCAAAUUUACUCCAAUUCUUCUAUAGCCGUAUUCUUUUGUCCUUUUUGCAAACCCAUUGCUACAACAUCCUUCCCAUGAAAAUUUAACUUUGGGUUACCUACAAUUAUACAUGUGUUUUAAGGACAUAAUUAUUAGAAAUCAAGCAAAUUUUAUUAAACUUAAACUAAAAUGAAUGUUAAUGUAAACUAUCAUUAAAUGCACUAAAACACAUCAAUUACCCUCUAAGUAAUCUUGAUUUAAGUUUAAAAGUAUCAUGAUAAUCUUAUUUCAUAGAGUUAUCAAUGCUCUAACUUCAAGUCGCGCGAAUCUAUAAGGAUUCUUAUGAAUUCUUUGCUCGUUACAUUAGCUUUUAACACCAAAACAUCUUCAUGCAAGUAUAGUAUCCCUUCCUCAUCGUAUUAUGUCCAAAUGAUUGGAACUUGCUUGGUUCUUGCUCAUUUUUUCAAUAAAGCAUUGAAGAGAAUAUCAUGACUUGUUAUUGCAUACCUUUUGUAGUACUUCUAGGCUUUGUUAGAGUUAUUUACAAGAGUUGGCCCUCUUACAAUAACUCUAUCUACUGGCUCUUCAAAAAUCAUAUCACCAGUAUUCUUUUUUGCUGUAUGCACUGUUGAUCUGUCAUUGGAUAAGAACUGUCAAUAUACUUAUUCAAAUAAUAAUUUCUUACCAGAACUUCUACUUAUUUUUUUAAGUCGUGACACUGUGGUUUGGUGUGGCCAUGGGUGUUAUUCAUCGCAUUAUCCUAUCUCUUAGAAAAUUUUGGCAAGUAAGGACUAGUGAAGGUAGGUUUGGGUUUUGGUUUAGUUGACCUUAUAUUUUGAGUUGGGUUAACUUGGAUCGUUAUAGUGAGGAUGGCUAUCAACUAGUUAUAUCAUUUCAAGUAGCUCUAUUUAGAGAGGGGUGGGGUUAAUUUCUUUUUACAUAGUAUGGGGAGAUAAGAGUGGCCAAAAUCGAAUUUAGAUUGGAUUCGGAUCAAUUUGAUCAUAUAUUAAAUUUUUCGGAUUGAUUAAAAAAACUCAUCUGAAUGUACUGGAACUUCAAUCUAAUAUGAAUAUAUUUGGAUCAGAUGAAUAAUUUGGCUUAAGUUAGAUUUGGAUCGGUUUGGUAAAUCUCAAAUUUAAUUUUAAUUUACAGGUCACUAAACUCAAUGGAUAAGACAUAAUUUGUAUAUCUCUGUAAUAAACAUUCAAUUUUGAUAUUCAACUACAUAGAUAGAAGAAAAAUAAGUCAUUUACAUUACAAUUGUGGUGCAUAUCACUGAAAAUUAUCAUAAUAAUUCAUAUUUUUCCAAACAAAAUUAAAAGAAACCAUAAUUUAAACAACAUAAUAAGCAAAUAGAAUUUCUAAAGAAAAGGAAAAAGAGUAUAUGUAAGCUAGAAAAAGAGAAAUCAUGUAUUAGAGAAGAAAAGAGCAUUGUUGCACAAAAACAACUAAUACCAAAACUAAUAAAAAAAAUCUCAUAUUCAUUUUCCAAUUUUCUCAUAAGCUUACGCAAUUCUUCCUCUUCUACUCUUCAAAAUCAUUUGCCAAUUUUCUCAAUUUUCUCAUAAGGUGAUCUCUGGACUUGUGAUGAGAAAAUUACUUGAGUAACUUACGGCUGCUUAGGUUUGGGAUUUUGGGGAAAACAAGUUAGGUUUACACAUUACAAACUUCACUAGUCAAAUUGUCGAAUUACAUCCGAAUUAGAUUUGAUCCGAUUAUAAUCUCAUCGGAUUGGGUUGUUUCUAUUUAAUCAAAUUACAACAAUAGUCCAUAUUCAAUUUGAAUAUAUUUGGAUUGAAUCAAAUCCAAUCCUAUGCUGACCCUUAUGGGAAUAAGUAGCCGUCCUUAUUAUGACCGCUCUACUCACUGAUGGUUUGUCAUGAUGCCUAACUAGUCCACUUAUUUUUUAGCUCUCCUUUCAUUUCGUUUUAACUCCUCAAGUUACUCGUCUCUAACUCUUGCUGCUUUUUCCUCCUCGAUUUCAAUAUCCACCUUCACCUAGUCAUAAGCAGCCGAAUAAGAGUUUAUUAUUGGGUUCCUUAAGUUAUACCAUAAUUGCCCUAUCUUUACUCCCUCUUUUAAUCCCUUCAAGGCCUGAAGAUGAUUGAAAGCUCCAUGGUCAAGGAUUGUUUGGUGAUAUAUCUUGAAAAAUCUCUUAGAGUUUGAUUUUCUUCUUACUCGAGCCUCAUUGGCUCUAUCAUGUCAUCCUUUGGUGUUAUUGCUCCUAAAAAAUGUUCAGCAAAGUCUCCAUGCAAUUGAUCAGAAGUUCUGAUGCUUCCCUAUGGCAAUUUGCGAUACUAAUCAUGUGCAUGCUAUUCUAAUGUCAAUGGAAACACUCCACACCACUGUAGUGGUGUCAAACCAUGUACUCUAGUCAUCUCAUUAAAUUGUUCUAUAUGCAUAAAAGGUCACUCUUUCUGGAAUAUUUUAGGUUCAAAACUAAUCCCUUGAUAUUGUUGUGCUCAUGAUUUUUGCUGAGAGUAAGAUUCAUUAUCCAUAAUUAUUCUCCGGCUCAGUGCUCUUUCAAUCCUAUACUUCUUCAUAAUUCGUGCUAAUCUAUGCACCUUAUCUUCUAAUUUCCCAACGCGACUUGGGUUCUACACCCUUAUCUACUUGUAGUCAGCGUUCUGUUUAUUCCAUAGAUUUUCACCGAAGUAAGUUUGGUUGCUCUCCAAAAAAAAAAAAAAAGAAAUCACCUAAUACUUUCGGGGCAAGGCAAGCUUCCAAAUAACAUUGCAAAUGAUUUAGUGAAAAAGCUUUCAUCUAUUCCGGUAAUUUAGAAGCACUUUAAUUCAAUUCUCUCUUAAGAGUCCUAUCACUUUAGGAUGAUUUUUAAGUAAAAUCCUUGUAUAGAUUAUAUUUUUGUUAAUAUAACAAACACUAAAUAUUUAUGAUCUGAAAGAUAGUUGUUGAAUGGAGAUCGUUUCACACAAAAAAGUAUUUAAAAAGAAUGUGGUAUUGUAAUAUUAAAUAAUUUUUUGUAGUGAUAUAAGAGUAUCACACUAGUUUUUUUUUUUUUUUUUUUUUUGCAUUACAAAAAAUUGAAAAUAAGAUCUAAGUAAUUUCAAGAAUAAAUUAGCAAUAUUAGGAACAAGUUUUACGAAAAGCUUCUGGGACAUGUCAUACAAAUUUGUUAUAUAUGACAGUCUCUACUAGAUCUUUUUUCCACAUUACAAAAAUUAGAAAUGAGAUCUAAAUCGACCAAUUAUAAAUUUUAUAGUGAGUGGGUCCUAUAUGAAAACAAGGUUUUUUUUUUAUUAUAGUGUAGUCAAUUAUCAGCCAUCUACCCUAAGUUUAUUUUAUAUUAAAAAAUACUAGGAAGAUUUAAUUUGUUUAGUUUUUUACUUUAAUUUUAUAAUUUGUAUUAGUUGUCUACUAAAAGGGUCCGGCUACGGUGCAAUGGUGAUACGGUACCACCGUUGCAUUCAGUCGUUGGAUCCACUUGGAUGAAUGGAUCCAGUGAGAUCCAACGGCUGGAUGCAACGGUGGUACCGUACCACCGUUGCACCAUAGUUUUCUCCCUACUAAAAAGAUAUAAUUAUCCUUACUAAAUGACAAAAUAGAAACAAAUACAAAUAAAAACUGCGGUCAUUUUGUAAGGGUAAUUCUAUCUUUUUAGCAUCGAAUUGCAUAUUAAACUAUUUUAAGUACUUAAAAUAAUAUAAGUUCUUUAUCAAAUAAAUAAAAUUUUAAACUAUGUAUUUACCAAAUAUUUUAAAAUCACAGCUCUUCUACUACAUCUCCAAAUAAAUUCUUAAAAUCAUAAAUAACUAAAUUAAUGGGGUUUUAAAAGGACUCUCCAGACUUUGCAUGAUUUCUUUAUAUGUAGGUGCUGGGUGAUCAUGUUGGUUCCUAUAGGUACCAUCAGCCACACUUUUUGUUAUUGGUGAAAAAAUAAUUUUGGGUACAAUUUGUGAAUUUGUAUAACGUGCGGUAUUAAACAUUUGAAACAUGCAAUGACAGUAAUCUAAUCAAUAAUUAAAAAAAAAUUGUAUAAAAUACAUAUGUCGUAGGCAACUCGGAUCCUUUUCUUUAUAAUUCCAUAUCAUGUGAUUAUCAAAAAACUUCUUGGGAUUUUUAAAUUUUGUAAUUGCACUAUCCUUGAAUUAUCAAAAGACUCUUGAUAAUGUUCUUCUUCUUAAAGAUUCCCUUAAUCUGUAAAUGGUCCAAUAAUUAGUUCAUAAAACGAAUUUAUUACUUUAGACAAGUCUCAAAUAUACAUACCUCUUAUAACUCCGUAUUGCAUAAUUCCUUACUUAAAUGCAUUUGUUUCCUUUCUCUAAAUUUUAGAAUGGCUCUGUCUACUAAAUUUCCUCUUUAAAUUUGACUGCCAACUGGGAAUUUUGCCAAAAUUUCCACCCCAUCUUACUCUCUGAAAUAUGUCCUCCACGUUACUAUAGCAAAUUUAACAUCUAGGAUACUGAAAACAUUUUGUUUUAAUUUUUAAAUCUUUAGCUGUUGAAAAUAGGUCUUUAGCUGCUCAUCAGGAGAAAAUUUUCAUCUAAAACUUUUUUUGAUAAGGCAAGCUUCCAAAUAACAUCCAAAUGGUUUGGUGAAGGUUUUUCACCUUUUCUGAUAAUCCAAAAGCACCUUAUUUCUAGUUAUCUCUUAACAGUCUUAUUACCUCAGGUUCUCUCUUUAUUAAGUAAAACCUCAUAUAUAUUAAUUUGUUGUUAAUAUAAAUAAAAAUUAAGUAGUUGUUUGUUUUUUCAACUUAACGAAAAGUUUUCAUUCAUUAAAUUAUUAUCCCAAACUUUUUAGCUUUUUACUUAAUCUAAAAAGUAUGAAUAAUAUCAUUAAAAGAUAUUUUCCAAAAUAUCUCUAUCUAAUUAAUUAAUUUUCAUCAUUAUCCGAAUAAAAUUUAAUAAUUAGUAUUAUUACUCAUCUCUAUAACUUAUGAUAAUAUAGUGGUAGACUAUUACGAAUUUUACCAUCUUAUUUUCUUCAGAUUUGAAUUAUUUAUCUUCAUAAUUUUUUAUGACUAUUCUUAGUAUAAAAACAUCAUAAAUUAUAAUAAAAUGGAUUGACAUAUACUAAUUUAGAAUAUUAAAAGGUUGUGUUCAAUUGAAAAUAAUUUAUGUUAUGAUGAUAUAUUAUCUUUUAUAUGUUCUUUGAAAUGUUUAUUAUUUGAUGAACAUUUACAAUAUGUUAGGACACAAAUGUAGAAAUACUAAUUUUUAGAUUUUUUUAAGUUAAAAGAUAAACAACUUAAUAUUUAUUUUUAACGAUUCAAUAAAAAAACAAACAUAUAAUUAAGAUUUAGACAUUCAACUCUAUUCAAAAUUCAGACUAAUUCACACAUAUUUAGAUUUCAGACAAGAAACAUAUGCCACCUAAAUGUUUAUGACUUAAAAUUAUUUAAUAAUCAUGGCACAUUUAACCUAUCUAAACAUGAAAUCUUGUGUAGACUUAUGUUUAAGCAAGAGGAUAAUGUGAGAAAAUUGACACAUUAAUUUACAAUUUGUAGGCCAACUGAAUAUUUUUUGUUUGUUUUUUUAUUUUGAUAAUAAAACAAGCCUCGCAAGAGCUUAGGUUUUUAGCCAACUGAAUAAAUUUUCCCACUCAAAUUAGAAACAAUAAAAUCUAAUAAUUAUGAGCCCAUCAGACAAACAGUGAGACAUCAUAUUGUUAAUACCUACUCGUAAAAUUAACGGGAUAACACGGUUUAUGCGGACAGAUUAUCAAGGUAUUGUUAAUACCUUCUGUAUCGGUAUUUCUUUUUUUCUUCUUCUUCAACCCCAAAUAAUCAAAAGCUCUCCAAUGGCUUUCGUAUCCACAACUCGUCCAUUUCAUUUUACUUCAAAUUCAAUAUCAGCUCUUAGAUGUAAUUUCUCAUCUUCGUUCCCUCAUACCGGAAAACCCAAAUCUUCAAUUUCGGAAAAUAAACCCUCGUAUCCGACCGCAACAGCUAAACUGAAGGAGUCGCUACGACUGACGGUCAAAGACCGAGCCUCACUCGAAAAAUUCCUCAGAAAAAGGUUCAAAUCAUCCGGUGAAGGUGAUAUUACUACUAUUACUCCUAAUGAAGCCUUUUGUAUCUUUGAUUACAUGCUCAAUAUGCGCCCUUCUCCGCCUCCUGUCUCUUCCUUCAAUAUUUUGUUUGGUUGUCUUGCUAAGAAUAAACAUUAUGAUACUGUCCUUUCACUCUUCAAGAGACUCAAUUCAACUGGGUUGUUUCCAAAUCUUUAUACUUACAAUAUCUUGAUUAACUGCUUUUGCAAAAUGGGUCGAGUUUCUCCUGGUUUUGUUGUUCUUGGGAGAAUCCUCAGGUCUUGUUUUACUCCAGAUGCUGUGACCUUUACUUCUUUGAUUAAAGGUUUGUGUGCGGAGAGUAGAAUCAUGGAGGCUGCCGCAUUGUUUACGAAACUUAGAGUGUUUGGUUGUGAGCCUGAUGUUUUUACAUACAAUACUUUGAUUAAUGGAUUGUGUCGAACUGGCCAUACAUUUGUUGCUCUAAAUUUAUUUGAAGAGAUGGCUAAUGGAAAUGGGGAAUUUGGUGUUGUUUGUAAGCCAAACACUGUUACAUACAAUACUAUUAUAGAUGGUCUUUGUAAGGAAGGUUUUGUGGACAAGGCCAAGGAACUGUUUCUGCAGAUGAAGGAUAACAAUAUUAACCCCAAUGUGGUUACUUAUAACUCUUUGAUUCACUGUUUCUCUCAUGCUGAUGAUUGGAAUGAGGCCAAGUGUUUGCUAAUUGAGAUGAUGGACCAAGGGGUACAGCCUAAUGUUGUGACUUUCAAUGUCAUCAUGGAUGAGCUCUGCAAGAAUGGAAAGAUGGAUGAGGCUGCCGCAUUGUUUACGAAACUUGGUGUGUUUGGUUGUGAGCCUGAUGUUUUUACAUACACCACUUUGAUUAAUGGAUUGUGUCGAACUGGCCAUACAAUUGUUGCUCUAAAUUUAUUUGAAGAGAUGGCCAAUGGAAAUGGGAAAUUUGGUGUUGUUUGUAAGCCAGACGCUAUUACAUACAGUACUAUUAUAGAUGGUCUUUGUAAGGAAGGUUUUGUGGACAAGGCCAAUGAACUGUUUCUGCAGAUGAAGGGUAAGAAUAUUAACCCCGAUGCGGUUACUUAUAACUCUUUGAUUCACGGUUUUUGUUAUGCUAAUGAUUGGAAUAAGGCCAAGCAUUUGUUUAUUGAGAUGAUGGAUCAAGGGGUACAGCCUGAUGUUGUGACUUUCAAUGUGAUCAUGGAUGAGCUCUGCAAGAAUGGGAAGAUGGACGAAGCAAGUAGGCUGUUAGAAUUGAUGAUUUUGAGAGGAUUGAAUCCCAACACAUCUACUUAUAACACAUUAAUUGAUGGUUAUUGCUUAACUGGUAAAAUAGAUUGUGCUAGGGAAUUAUUUGUUUCUAUGGAGAGUAACGGGUGCAUGCAUAAUGUUGUGAGUUACAACACAUUAAUAAAUGGGUACUGCAAGACUAAGGAUGUAGAGGAAGCUUUAAAUCUUUAUAGGAAAAUGCUGUCUAAAGGAAUUAGGCCAACAGUUGUUACAUAUAACACCUUGUUUCAUGGCCUUUUUGAAAUACAGCAGGUUGACCAUGCUUUAAAACUGUUUGAUGAGAUGCAGCGCAAUGAUGUGGCUGCUGAUACCUCUACGUAUAAUACCUUUACAGAUGGGCUCUGCAAGAAUGGUUAUAUUGUAGAGGCAGUUGAAUUAUUUCGUACUUUGAGAAUUCUCAAGUGUGAACUUGAUAUUCAAGCCUACAACUGCCUCAUUGAUGGAUUAUGUAAAUCCGGCAGACUUGAAUUUGCGUGGGAACUGUUUCGUAGUUUGCCUCGUCGAGUCCUAAUGGCAAAUGUUGUAACAUAUAACAUCAUGAUCCAUGGGCUUUGUAACGAUGGCCAAAUGGAUAAGGCACAUGAUUUAUUUCUUGACAUGGAAGAAAAUGCUGUGGCACCCAAUGUCAUCACAUUUGGUACACUUAUGCAUGGUUUUAUCCGAGUCAAUGAGCCAUCAAAAGUUAUUGAACUUCUUCACAAGAUGAAGGAGAAAAAAGUAAUGCCAGAUGCAUCUAUAGUUUCAAUUGUUGUCGACUUACUUGUAAAGAAUGAAAUUAGUCUGAACUCACUUCCGUCAUUUCCUGUCCGAGAGCGACAGGGGGAAGUUGAUGAGUCAAAUGUCAAGUAGUAGCAGCAUGUGUUUUGAGCCUAAAAACCUGAUCUGCAGCAUCUCAUUCACAUUGCAAAAUGACGUCGCCUGGUGACAGCAUGUUCUCUCUGGUACUGUUCAUGGAUUCUUGAUUGUUCUCGUGAUCAGAAGAGUCUCAUUCAUAUUACAAAUCCUGAUCUGGACAAGCUAGCAUACGUGAUCACCAACUGCACAUGGUUGUUGAUGCCAGAUUAAGUAUGGUAUCAUGUCUUUCAACUUGUUAUUCACUAUAGUCUUUCACCCUCUGUCUUGUUCUCUCUUAAUGACCCAUUGCUUUAGAAGCUAAUGAAUUAGUUGAAGCUUGUCACUUUAUUGGCACUGACUAUCAUUUAUGCUUUGAAUUUACAGCAUAUUUUAUCCUUACUGUACUCUUCGCAUAGUUACCUUUGAGGGCUGCUAGUAUGUAAAACUAAAAGACCUUAUAUAAGCUUUUCAGUGUAUAUCUGUUCUGUGAAAUGAUUCAUUCUGCAAGGCCCUAGGCUUAUGACUCAUCUAUGAAAUGAUUUACCCUCACCUGCACACAGGCAUUUGUCCCUUUCGAGCAAUCUUCAAACAAUGUGAAAAAAAUGCUUGAAACACGACACAGACUUCACUGUUUACAUGAAAAGCGGCAGAAACUUGUGAAAUUACCGAUUAAAAAGUACCUACUGUGAGGAAGAUGCUAUAAAACUCACUCGGAAAAUGUAAAAUGGUUAACAGACAUCCACCAGAAGCACAAUUCAGAACAUGGGCUGCUUUUGGCUGCCCGGCUUUCAGAAGUCAAUAUUUAGAUGAACUUUGGGGAGAUUAGGAUCACCAGUCAGUCAGAUUUAGAUAGAAAGUGAGAGAUUGCUAUUGCCGAGUCAUUGCUUCUAUCCUAAAUGCUUUGAUCUACCUGAAAAGUAUAUAAAUAUCGGGGUUAAAACAGAGCAGUUGAAAUCGUAUUGAUGAACUCAACUGAGAUAAAUGAUAAAAGAAAACUAACCUACAUUCUGUACAAAACUCGCCCAUCUUCCUUUAAGAGCUGACUUCCCAAGAAGAGAUCACCACAAUAGUUCACAUCAACAGUCUCCACUUGAGAGUUUUUAUAACCACAAUAUUCAUUCCAUUCAAACCACAUCCUUGAGAUCAGUUCCUUCUUCAGGAGACUCGGCAGCAACCAAUCUAUAUGCAUAAGCUUUCUUUGUUUGGCCUGGCUGGAAAGCCCAGCCGAUUGCUUGGCGGAUUUCUGAUGGAGUACAGGGAACAUCCAGAAUAAUGAUCCAAAUUUUUGUGGACUUACAUGUAAAGAAUGAAAUUGGUUAAACUCGAUUCCACAAUUCAAGAGUAAAUGAGUUUAAUCUUGAUUUAGUAUCAUGUCUUUUCUGCUUUAAAACCAGAUCUGGGGAAUCCCAUUCUUCUUACGACAGGUGAAGGAGUGUUUGUGUAUUGCUGGCAUGUUCCCAGGUUCUAUUCACGGAUUCUGUUUGCAGACAUGGCUAACUCCUCGUUUCAGAUAAGUUUCAAAGUCUGGCAACUUUUUGUUUCAAUUCAUGGGUUUUCCUUCUAUGAUGCAUCUUUCUCAUUAGCUGUAGUUUCAAAUUUUUUAGGCUCUUCCUGUAUGACCUCUUUUCUUCUCCAAAUGGAUAAAAUUUGUUUUUCAUUUUUCUCCUGCGAGGGUACAGGUUUAUGUUGAAACUUUCUCUUAGUUAAAUUGAUUGUCAUUUGAUAUUGGAACUUCUAGUUGAACUAGUUUGCACUUCGAAUAUAUGAGAUUACCAACUCUAAGGAAUUGGUGCCAAAUUGAUUAUGUUAUCAGGUUUUUCAGUCUGUGUAAUUGUCCAAAUUUUUUUCAUUCCUAGUGACAUGGCAUUCACUUGAAUAUGAAAACCUACGUGUUCGCAAGACAAAGUCUGUUGAAACUGACAAACUUUUCUCUAUGAAUAUUGAAGACAAUAUAAUAAGAUAAAAUUAAUCAAAAACAUCUAUACUUGACAGGGCUGGAACGUCUGUUAUUAGUCCUCGCCUUCCAUUCUUGUUUCAUCUUCUUCUGCUAACAAAUCUUGAUCAUGAUAGUCUUCUCUUUUCUUUGCAACCCACAUAUAAAGUCUCGGCCAUAAACCUCGAGGCCUAUUCUCUUUUGCAAUGGUGAGUUCACUCUCAGGAAUCAGAUCGAAUUUGAAGAAACUGCAAGGGACUACAAAGCAAAUGGUGUGAAGCUCCUUUCACUUAUCACUGGCACAGCAUUACUCUGGCAAAUGGUUUAAAAUACCAUUCGCGUUGGAAGUUCAAUCAUUACUGUUUUUUUUCCCCCUCUUUUUACUUGCUCUUGCUAUUUUUGUUGUCUGAAAUUAUCUGAAGUUCCAUGCAUGCUCCAAUAGAACGAGUAAUGUAAUGUAGGUGCUGACCAACUCCAAAUAAGUAGUUAGUUGCCUAGUAGUUGCUUUCCAUGAAAUUUGUUUUUGGUAUGAAUAAUGUUGUCUUAAUUUUACAAGCUUCCGUGCAACCCCUCAUUUAAUAUUAGAUUUAUCCGUUGAUUGAUGCUGACUCUUGAAAGUAAUAUAAUAUUGUAUAAAUAUAAUGAAAUCUCACUUUAUUAAUAAAUAUAAUUUAAAAUAAAAAAUAAAAAAUAACUAAAGUUGAAAACCAAGGAGCAACUUCUAUCCUCUUAGUCUCUUACCAAGUUAUUAAAUAUAGAGCAGACAAAGGUAUAUGUAUAAUAUAUAUAAUUUUCUUCAUGAUUCAAAAUCAUAUCUCAAAUGUCAAAUAAAAUUCUCAAUUAAGGGUGUUCGGGGAUUAGAUUUUACGAAUUUUAUAUUAUUAUCGGAUAAGAUAUAAUAUGGUAUUAAUGUAAUUAUAUUUUAACUUAUUUAUUUAGUAGUAAGUACUAAUGUCAUAUUUAUAAGUUUUAUUUUUAAUUAAAUAAAUAUUUUUUAUUAUUUUUAGAUUCAUGAAUUUUUAUAGAUUUACAUAAGUAGAUUCAUAUUCAAUCCACCGAUUACAAAUUAUCAAAUUUUCAAUCUAAUUUAAUCUAUCAAUCUAUAAAUUAUUUUAAAUAUUAUAAAUUAUUUUUAGACUGAGUGAUGAAGGGUCAUUUAAACAAUCAUGGUCAUUUAAUCUAUCUAAUCAUGAUAUUUCGAGUAGACUUAUGUCACAUUUAAUCUAUCUAAUCAUGAUAUUUCGAGUAGCACCCGAUUGUGUCACAUUUAAUACGCUGAUGCUAGGUUGCAUCCGCAAUAAUGAGACAUCAAAAGUUGUUGAACUCCUUCACAGAAUGGAUGAGAGAAAUGUAAUACCAGAUGCAUCUACACUUUCAAUUGUUGUGGACUUGCUUGUAAAGAAUGAAAUUAGCUUAAACUCCAUUCCACAAUUCAAGAGUCAAAGGUAAGUGAGUUUAAUAAUGAUUUAGUCGCAUGUUUCUUCUGCCUGAAAACUCAAUGUGGAGGAUCCUAUUCUUAUUACAACAUGUAAAGGAGUGUUGUCUAAUGUUGGCAUGUUCCUAGGUUCUGUCCAUGGAUUCUGUUUGCAGACAUGGCUAACUUCUUGUUCAACAGAUAAGUUUUAAAGUCUUUCAACUUUAUGUUGUAAAAUAACUUUCUUAUUAUUCAAUUCAUGAGUUUUCCUUCUGUAACACAUACUUCUCAUUAGAUGGAAGUGCAAAUUUUUUAGGCUUUUCCCGUAUGGCCUCUUUUUCUGCUCUAAAUAAAAUGGCAUUUUAUUUCCCUCCUGUGAGGGUACAAGGUUUAUGUAUAAACUUUCUGUUAGUUAAAUUGGUUGUCUUUGAUAUAGGGAACUUCCAGUUGAGCUGAUUUGUAAUUCGAGUAUAUGAGAUUACCAACUGUAUUGGGAAUUAAUGCCAAAUUAAUUAUGUCAUCAGGUUUUUCAAUCAUUGUUCAUCAUUUAUUUCUGUUAACAAUUAAUAGCACAGCUUGUCUUCUCAGCUUCAUUGGUUCCUCUAAAAAAUAAUCUUGUAAAGACAAUUUUUUUUUUUUGGCAUGGUAAAUGCUAGAUUGUUUGUGGUAAAUACAAAAUUGAUACAAUCAACUUGUAUGAUAAGUUUUAAAAGUUUAUUCAUAUUUAUAUUACAUAAUUAAAAGUUCAUUCAUAUUUAUAUGAGAUAUCUAUUUUAGGACACAGUUUAAUAAUCAUGGAAACUAACCAUUUAAUAACAAUUAUGGUCGUUUAACCUAUCUAAACAUGAAAUUGUCAGCUGGCUUAUCUUUGAGUAGGAGGAUAAUGUAAGAAAAUUAAUAUUUUAAUGUACAAUUUGUAUGCCAAGCGAAAAAUUUCACAAUUUAAAUUAGAAAAAAUAAAAUUUAAUAGUUAAAUAUUAUUUGAGCCAAUUGACUAGUGGGACAUUAUUUGUUACUGUCCAAAAAGCAUAACAUUAUUUUGAUAAAUGGUUACUGCAAGAAUAAGGAAAUAGAGGAAGCGUUAAGCCUUUAUAGCGAAAUGCUCUCUAAAGGAAUAAAGCCAACAGUUGUUACAUAUAACACCUUGUUUCUUGGUCUUUUUGAAAUACACCAAGUUGAGCGUGCUUUAAAACUGUUUGAUGAGAUGCAGCGCAAUGGUGUGGUUGCUGAUACCUCUACGUAUAAUACCUUUACUGACGGGCUCUGCAAGAAUGGUUAUAUCGUAGAGGCAGUUGAACUAUUUCGUACUUUGAGAAUUCUAAAGUAUGAACUGUGGUGUCCAAUUUCAUCACAUUUGGUACGCUUAUCCAUGGUUUUAUCCGAAUCAAUGAGCCAUCAGAAGUUAUUCAACUUCUUCACAUGAUGAAGGAGAAAAAAGUAAUGCCAGAUGCGUCUACAGUUUCAAUCGUUGUCGACUUACUUGUAAAGAAUGAAAUUAGUCUGAACUCACUUCCGUCAUUUCCUGUCCAAGAGCGACAGGGGGAAGUUGAUGAGUCAAAUGUCAAGUUGUAGCAGCAUGUCCUGUCCAUUGCUUCAAUCCUAAAUGCUUUGAUCUACCUGAAAAGUAUACAAAUAUCGGAGUUAAAACAGAGCAGAUUAAAUCGUAUUGAUGAACUCAACUGAGAUAAAUGACAAAAGAAAACUAACUUUUCCUGUUCAAAGCUCGCACACCUUCCUUUAAGAGCUGACUUUCCAAGAAGAGAUCACCACAAUCGUUCACAUCAACAGUCCACUUGAAAUUUUUUAUAACCACAAUAGUCAUUCCAUUCAAACCACAUCCUUGAGAUCAGUUCCUUCUUCAAGCAAGUGGGAUGGUCUUCCUCUUGAGGAGACUCAGCAGCAACCAAUCAAAGCACAAUAAAGGUAACAUCCAGAAUAAUGAUCCAAAUUUUUGUGGACUUACAUGCAAAGAAUGAAAUUGGUUUAAACUCGAUUCCACAAUUCAAGAGUUAAUGAGUUUAUCUUGAUUCAGUAGCGUGUCUCUUCUGCUUUAAAACCAGAUCUGGGGAAUCCCAUUCUUAUUACAACAUGUGAAGGAGUGUUUGUGUAUUGUUGGCAUGUUCCCAGGUUCUGUUCACGGAUUCUGUUUGCAGACAUGGCUAACUCCUCGUUUCAUCAGAUAAGUUUCAAAGUCUGGCAACUUUUUGUUGUAAAAAUAACUAUUUCAUUAUUCAAUUCAUGAGUUUUCCUUCUAUGGUGCAUCUUUCUCAUUAGCUGUAGUUUCAAAAUUCGAGCGAAUUUGAAGAAACUGCAAAAGACUACAAAGCAAAUGGUGUAGAGCACCUUUCACUUAUCACGGGCACAGGAUUACUCUGACUUUCUGCAUUUUACUGUUGGCUAUGGUUUGAUGCAUUAUUUAUUGUUCUCAAAUACCAUUCUCGUUGGAAGUUCAAUCAUUACUGUUUCUUUUUUCCCCCCUUUUUACUUGAAGUUACCUGAAGUUCCAUGCAUGCUCCAAUCGAACAAGUAACGUAGGUGCUGACCAACUCAAAAUAAGUAGUCAGUUGCCUAGUAGUUGCUUUGCAUGAAAUUUGUUUUUGGUCUUAAUUUUACAAGCUUUCAUGCAACUCCUAAUUUGUUGGAAGUAUUAACUCAACCCGUCAUUUAAGGUUAGAUUUAACCAUUGACUUAUGUUGACUAUUAAAAGUACUAUAAUAUUCUAUAAAUAUAACGAAACCUACUUUAUUAACAAAUAUAAUUUAAAAUAUAAAAAAUCAAUAAUAAAAAUAACUAAAGUUGAAAUCCAAGGAGCAACUUCUAUCCUCUUACCAAGUUAUUAAAUAUUAGAGUAGAUAGAGGCAUAUACUUUUCUUGAUGAUUCAGAAUCAUAUCUUCAAAUAAAAUUCUCAAUGAUUGCAGGCCUCAAUACCAUUAGGAUGAACUAGACCAUCAUGAAUUUUUGCGCAUCUUGCAAGGUCCAAUUUCUCCAAGUUUAUGAUCAAGCCAAAAAAUGUCAUAAUUCCUUUUAUAGUAAUUUCAUAGUGUUUACUAAACUGUAAUAGAAAUGGAUUGAAACACAAAUAGGGAUGGCAAUGGGGAGGGGGGAGGGGACCAACAUCCCCGUACCCAUCCUUGAUAUUUUGUAUAUGUCCCCAUCUCCUUCCUAUCCCCAUCAGAAUUACUUGAGGGGAUUCCCGUCCCCUCCCCGAAUAAUAACAGGGAAUCUCCGAGGGUCCCCGAUCCCCAAAUAACUGAUAUAUUUGUUUAGUUUUCAAACUUAAUUUAAUCAUAUUAAUGUAAAAAUAUAUAAAAUAAAAUGAAAUGAUCAUGAAUGGGCCUUAUAUUUCAUUCCACUCCUUCAAACUUUUGGUAUAUAUAAUAUUCAAAUAAUGAUUUUCAAAACAAAAUUCAAAUAAUGUGAUUUUUAUACAAUAUUGACGUGAUUGUUGUCCAUGAGUAACGAUACCUACUGAUCACCGACUAUGAUGCAACAAAGCCGCAUGUGUGGCUGCUAGUUGACGUUGCGACGAGUUAGGCUACUCGGACACUGACAACGUAACGUGCUACUGGGCUAUGAUGAGAUGAAGACGAGUUGAGUGCUUACUACUGCAUGAAUAAUUUGGAAAUGAUGAGCAAGACUGUGAGAAAGUAAUUUAGAGUUUGAUUUGUGAGUUAUAAGCUUGUGGGAUUGUGUGCUUUUGGUUGUAAUUAAGUCUAAAUUAUAUUAAACAUUUUAUAUUAACUAAUAUUUAUUAUUUGUAUAAAUAUUUUGAUAUUUUUUAUUUACACCAAUAUUUUAUAUUUUACAAUUUAAAAUUUAUCGUUUAUUGACUAAUAAUUCUAGAAAAAUAAAAAUAAAAUAAAAUAUUAAAAUAGGGAAAUGGGGAGGGGACGGGGAUUCCACCUCAUCCCCAUCCCUUCCCUGAAUAAGUAAUUGGGUAAAAAAUUGUCCUCGUCCCUUUCCCGAAUAAGAAGUGUGGUAUAAAAUCGUCCAUGUACCCUCCCCAAAUGGAUAAAAUCCUCAAGGGCCCCAUUCCCAUGGGGAUUUCUGCCAUCCCUAAAUUAGAAUAAAUUAUUUACUUAAACUGUAGGAAUUAGAAUCAAAAUAAACUGGAUUGUCAUUGAUGUGUCUAUUUUGUCUUGGAAUUGAAAUCAAAAUGAGUUACAUUUUAACAACUUACUAAAAAGUGCUUAAUGAGCUAUUGUCAUAAUUAUUAUUUUAUAUUUUAAUUAUGGUAAUUAUUUAUUCAAAAAUUAUAAUAAUUAUUAUUGUUAAUAAUAUAUUCAUAUAUUAAUUAAUUGAAAAUUAUUUAAAUUAAUUAAUUAUUAAUCAAUUAAUAUAUUAAUUGAUUAAUUAUAAUAAUACAUUAAUUAAUUAUAACUGAGGACAAAAUAGAUACUUUUUAUUUUGUGAGGGGGUAAAAUGGUCAUUCCAAGGAAUGGGAGACUCAUUCCCGCCUCCCUUGGGAAUUAAUCUUCCAUUUGCCAUUCCCAAAUUGCGGUGGACUCAACGAUUUCAAUUCUGAUUCUUGACUCUAUUUUAUGAAGUAAAUGCUCUCAAUAAUUUCGAUUCCCCAAUCCGAAGAAGUAAACGCACAGUUACUGUUUCUUCUAAAGCUCAAACUUGUCAGGUUUGAGAUACCUGAUAGAUACUUCAGUCAUGCAUCCACUCCAUCAUAAGACAAACUGAAAGUUAGAAAAAAAAGGGACAAUUCAAGGAAAAUGCACACAAGUGAGGUUUCAAAAUUAAAGUAGACACUUCAGCUGCAAAUCAGCAUACACAUACAAUGGAGGUCAUACAAAUAUCAUUUCUAUAACCGCCCUACUGUAUUCUUGAAUGAAGAUGGUUUAAAGUCAAGUAAUAAGAUAUUUAAACUUAAGCAAAACAAUACAAUUAAAUUUGCUGGAACUUAUGAGUAACUUAAUCUCAUCUCUCCUCCUAAUUUAAUUGGACAGGCGUAAAUUUUCCAUGUUAAUAUGGAUGAAGUAAAUUUUCUUUUUAUAAUAUAUCUAUGCAUUAAAAAAAAUUAAUAAUAAUAACUUUUACAAGCAUUUAUGCUUGUAUUAAUACUCUACUUUUUACUACACGAUUGCUUCAGUAUAUGGUGGAUGUUAAGAUAACAAUAAUACUAGAAUUACAAACACUUGCAUACUAUUAACUAACUUAACACUAUAAUAUUGUUUACGGUGUAAGCCCUCGAGGUGAUGUUAAUAUGCCAAAGAUUUAAAAAUAUUAGUUCUAGCUUUUGAAGAAAAAUAUGCUUUCAGUCAGAAGGGAAAAAAACGAAAAAAAAAAAAAAAAGCUUUCUAACAAGAUAUCAAAAUGGUUAAUAAGAAGAGCAGUAGUAAUGGGGUAAAAGCUCGUUUAAUCCCUAUAUUUUGAGGUUAGUACUUGUUUAGUUCCUAUAUUUUUAAAAAUGCUUCAAAACAUCUUUGCCGUUAAAUAUUGACACCCCUGCCGUUACUUUGUAUUCCUUUUAGCUUACUUUUACAAUAUUACCCUUUUUGCAAUAUUGUUUCUUUUUUUGGACAUUAAUAAUAAAUAAAAUUACCAAUUUAACCCCAAAAAUAAAAUAAAGACAAAGAAAAUAUAUAUUAAUCUUUGUCAAAACUAUGUCAAAAAAAUAAAUAUUGUAAAAAAAAUUAAACUACUAAUUUUUUAGACAUUAAUAAAAAAAAAUAAUAUAUUAACUCCUCGUGGAGUAUUCAAAAAAUUAAUAUAGAUUUUUUUUUGUUUCUAUUUUACUUUUUUGGGUUAAAUUGAUAAUUUGAUUUUUCUUGUUAUUAAUGUUUAAUAAAGAAGAAAUAUUAUUAUACGAGGGUAAUAUUAUGAAAGUAAGUUAAAAAGAACAAAAAAUAACAAUAAGGGUGUCAAUACUUAACGAUAACGAUGUUUUAAGACAUUUUUAAAAAUAUAGAGACUAAAUAGAUAUUAAUCUCAAAAUAUAAGAAAUAAACGAGAUUUUACCCGUAAUAAUGUUACGAGGGGGUUCAAAUGGAGGGGGACAGGUAUUUCCAAAUUUGUAUCCAUUAAUUUUUUUAAAACUCAUAUCUGUCACUUACUUGUUAUUAUUUUAAAUAUCAAACUUGUCAACCCUUAAGAGGAAACAUGUAUUUAACGGACUUUGCGCGGCUAAUUCUCAUCAUUCGCUACUCUAAAUUUUAUUUUACAGAUUUGCCCAUCAUUUACAACAUUUAAUUAAAUACACUUAAAUUAUAUAGAUUCAACGGUUCAACCUUCAUAUAUCACAUGAAAAGAAUACUGAAUUUUUAACAUCUCUCAUCAAGAGAUUGUACUGUGUUUACUCAAUUAGAUACCAAGUUUAUAUUCCAACUAAUGUGUUAAUAGUAUUUGAAUUAAAAAUGAUAAAACUUAAUAAUUAAUUAUUGCUUAAGUCAAUUAAAUAGUAUCAUAUCAUUUGUUUGAAAAAAAAAUCUUUGUUGUUUCAAGAGUAUUAAUCCUUUUUCAUUUACUUAUUAUCAUUACUAUCUGCAACUAAUCAUAAUGAUUUGCAUCAAUAUGUGAUUGUUUUUUUUACUCCAAGAACAGCUUUUAAAUGCAAUUUCUCUUCUUCCCCACUCACCCUUGAAAACCCACUAUUUGUGUACUUCCAAAAACGAUUUAUUGCUGACCGCCAAAGACCGAUACUCACUGGACAAAUUCCUAAAAGAAAGAUUCAAAUUCCAAUGUCUUAUACCUAUUUGAUUUGCAGUCCUUGUUAUGCUAAUGACUAGAAUGAGGCAAAGUGUUUUUUAAUUGAGAUGAUGGAUCUAAGGGUGCAGCAUGAUGUUGUGAUUUUCAAUGUUGAUCAUAGAUGAGCUUUGUGAAAAUAGAAAGAUAGAAGAAGCAUUUAGGUUUUUAGAAUCGCAUCAAUGGAUGGGUUUUGCUUGACCUAGGGAACUAUUUGUUUCUGUGGAGAAUAAAGGGUGCAGAAAUGACGUUGCUAAAUACAACAAGUUGAUAAAUGGGUAAUGCAAGAAUAAGGAAGUAGAGGAAGCGUUAGGCCUUUAUAGCGAAACGCUUUCUAAAAGAAUUCUCCUAGAAUAUGUUGAGGGGAUGGGGCAGCUGCCCCCAUCGCACCCUAAGCCAACAGACUCAAAACUGUAAAUGAAAGAAUCAUGAUGAUCUGUUUUGGUUUGUGAGAUGUUAGAGGAGGAGGAUUGACUAGUAACGGGGAGAUGUUUGGGUUUAUAAGGUGGUAGGUCACUCCACUUAAAAGGCUAGUCUUUUGGGUUAGAUACUUAGAAAUCUUAUGCUAAGUCCCCCCAACAAGCGGUAUCAGAGCUAGACCCUAGUAGCCGGAAUGUAGUGGUGGAACAACUCAGGUGUGUCGGACGAAAGGACCUGAGUCCGGCGGUGGUUUCGUCCGAAGGGGGGAUUGUUGAGUUGUAUCCCACAUUGACUAGUAAAAGGGAGAUGUUUGGGUUUAUAAGGUGGUAGGUCACUCCACCUAAAAGGCUAGUCUUUUGGGUUGGAUACCUAGGAAUCUUAUGCUAAGUCCCCCCAACAAGUGGUAUCAGAGCUAGACCCUAAUAGCCGGAAUGUAGUGGUGGAACAACUCAGAUGUGUCGGACGAAAGGACCGGAGUCCGACAGUGAUUUCGUCCGAGGGGGGGAUUGUUGAGUUGUGCCCCACAUUGAUUAGUAAAGGGGAGAUUUUGGGUUUAUAAGGUGGUAGGUCACUUCACCUAAAAGACUAGUCUUUUGGAUUGGAUACCUAGAAAUCUUAUACUAAGUCCCCCCAACAUGGACUUUCUUCUAAAGAAUGAUAUCCGUUUAAACUCAAUUCCAGAAUUCAAAAGCCAAAAUUGAAUAUUGAUUUAGUAGCAUGUUUUUCUGCCUGCUGAAAAUCGAAUAUGGAGGGUCCGUUUCAUUAUACCAAAUGUGAAGGAGUGUCACGUUGUGAGGGCAAUGUAAUAUCCUCGCCAUCUGGUUCAGUUCACCAAAGAAACUUCCCCAUUAAUUUCUUGAAAAAGUUAAGUUCAAACUGUAAAUGAAAGAAUCAUGAUGAUCUAUUUUGGUUUGUGAGAUGUUAGAAAGAGGCCAUUGUUAAAUAGACAUGAAUGCUGGAGAAAACUUUAUGUUCUUUUAUUGAAUUAAGUUGAUCCUACUCGAUCUCUGCAUUUUGGAUUCCUACUUCAGAGUCGAAGAAGUGAAAUAUGGUGUGAAAAAAUUGUAUGCUUAAGUUAAUUUGAAUCCUUGUUAUUUAAUAAAAGCUCAGCUUCUUUCAAUCCGCACCUACGGUGGUCAUUUUUUUUUAUAUAUAUGGCGAGUAAUAAAUAGAUAAGAAGUAAUGUUUUUAGAACACACAAAAUAUUUUUAUUUCAAACACUAACAAAGUUGCAGACAAAAUAUUUAAAUAAUCUUGAUGUAUGUAUCUAAUAGCGUGUUUGUUAAGUGGAAAUAAAAAUGAGGGAAUGAGAUACAUUAACUUAGCCCAAGUGGUUAGAGCCACUCCCUCACAAAUGUGGGGGAAGUGGUUCGAGCCUCCGCAGACGCAUUGUAGGAAUUUAAUUUAAAUGUCCUUUCUUAGAGUUCCAGAACUUGAGUGAAGUCAGUCUUUCUCCCAGAUUGGGGCCCAAGUGGUUAGAGCCACUCCCUCACAAAUGUGAGGGAAGUGGUUCGAGCCUCCUCCGCAGACGCAUUGUAGGGAUUUAAAAAUUUAAAUGUCCUUUCUUAAAGUCCCAGAACUUGAGUGAAGACAGUAUUUUUCCCAGGCUGGGAGUUGACGUCUCUCGAAUAUUUGAGAGGUGAAGGCAGUCUUUCUCCCAGACUGGGAGUUGACGUCUCUCGAAUAUUUGAGAGGCUUAAAAAAUCUAAGCGGUGCCAUAUCAGCAUUGAUGUCAACAGGUCUCAGUAUAUAUAUGAUUGUACAUAUCAGUUAUACUCUCAUGUAAUAUGAGUUGUAAUUUGAGCAAUAGUCUCAUGUUAUAAAAAAAAAACUUAUUUACUUAUAAAGAGAGAAGGAGGAUCGAGAAUUAAAUUUGCUGGCCUCACAUCAAUUUAUGACUAACUCUUGGAUUUCUAAUUUCUAAAGGGGGUUUGGAAUCUAAAUCUCAUUUUCAAGACGGAUUAUACUACCCCCGCCCAAAUGUAAUAAUUUUCAUUUUGUCCUUCUUUUAAAUAUUUAAAAAAUAAAUAAAAAUCGCAUGAGUACUGUGCAAAGAUCGAUUGUUACUGAUACUCCUCACGGAUAUUUGUAUUACUGUCGGUCAUUGUUGUUGCAGUUGCUGCCUGUUGUCGCUGCUACUAUCGAUCAUCGUUAUUGCCUACUGCUAUUGAUUGCCGGUUAUAAUGAUGAUUAUUCUUGCCUCAGUUAUUGUUGAUGUUAUUAUUACUCGCACCGAAUUACAUAUUAUUAAAUUAUUUUAAAUAUUACAAAUUAAAUUAUUUUUAAAUGAGUGAUCAAACCUGAUCAUUUAAUAACCAUGGCCAUUUAACAUAUUUAAACAUAAAAUUUCGUGUCAAAUUAUGUUUGAGUAUAAGGAUAAUGUAAGAUAAUUGGUACUUUAAUUUACAUUUAUGUGCCAACUGAAUAAAGUUCGCUAUUUAAAUUAAAUUAGAAACGGUGAAAUUUAAUAAUUAACUAUUAUUUAGCCAUUUAAACGCAGAGACACAAUUUGUCACGGUUCCAAAAGCAUAGCAUCAUUGAAAAUACCGUAUCCCACUUCUCUUUUUCUAUUUUGGUAAUUCUUUUUUUCUUCUUCAACCCCAAAUAAUCAAAAGCUCUCCAAUGGCUUUCGUAUUCUCAACUCGUUCAUUUCAUUUUACUUCAAUUUCAAUAUCGGCUCUUAGAUGUAAUUUCUCCUCUUCGUUCCCUCAUACCAGAAAACCCAAAUCUUCAAUUUCGAAAAAUGAGCUUUCAGAUCCGACUACAACAGCUAAACUGAAGGAGUCGCUACGACUGACAGUCAAAGACCGAGCCUCACUCGAAAAAUUCCUCAAAGAAAGGUGCAAAUCAUCAGGUCAAGGUGAUAUUAAUCUUAUAACUCCUAAUGAAGCCUUGUGUAUCUUUGAUUACAUGCUCAAUAUGCGCCCUUCUCCGCCUCCUGUCACUUCCUUCAAUCUUUUGUUUGGUUGUCUUGCCAAGACUAAACAUUAUGAUACUGUCCUUUCACUCUUCAAGAGACUCAAUUCCACUGGGUUGUUUCCGGAUCUUUAUACUUACAACAUAUUGAUUAAUUGCUUUUGCAAAAUGGGUCGAGUUUCUCAUGGUUUUGUUGUUCUUGGGAGAAUCCUCAGGUCUUGUUUUACUCCAGAUGCUGUGACCUUUACUUCUUUGAUUAAAGGUUUGUGUGCGGAGAGUAGAAUCAUGGAGGCCGCCGCAUUGUUUACGAAACUUACAGUGUUUGGUUGUAAGCCUGAUGCUUUUACAUACACCACUUUGGUUAAUGGAUUGUGUCGAACCGGCCACUUUGAUUAAGCCUGAUGCUUGGGAACUGUUUCAAAGUUUGUCUCGUGUAGGCCUAUUGCCAAAUGUUGUAACAUAUAAUAUCAUGAUCCAUGGGCUUUGUAAUGAUGGGCAAAUGGACAAGGCACAUGAUUUGUUUCUUGAUAUGGAAGCAAAAGGUGUGGAACCCAAUUGUGUCAUAUUUAAUACGAUUAUGCUGGGUUUCAUCCGCAAUAAUGAGACAUCAAAAGUUAAUGAACUCCUUCAGCGAAUGGAUAAUAGAAAUGUAAUGCCAGACGCAUCUACACUUUCAAUUGCUGUGCACUUACUUGUAAAGAAUGAAAUUAGCUUAAACUCGAUUCCACAAUUCAAGAGUCAAAGGUAAGUGAGUUUAAUACUCAUUUAGCCGCAUGUUUCUUCUGCCUGAAAACCCAAUCUGGAGGAUCCUAUUCUUAUUACAUGUAAAGGAGUGUUGUCUAAUGUUGGCAUGUUCCUAGGUUCUGUCCAUGGAUUCUGUUUGCAGACAUGGCUAACUUCUUGUUCAACAGAAAGUUUUAAAGUCUUUCAACUUUAUGUUGUAAAAUAACUUUUUUAUUAUUCAAUUCAUGAGUUUUUCUUCUAUAACACAUCCUUCUCAUUAGCUGGAAGUGCAAAUUUUUUAGGCUUUUCCUGUAUGGCCUCUUUUUCUGCUCUAAAUAAAAUGGCAUUUUAUUUCCCUCCUGUGAGGGUACAACGUUUAUGUUUAAAUUUUCUGUUAGUUAAAUUGGCUGUCUUUGAUAUAGGGAACUUCCAGUUGUACUGAUUUGUAAUUCGAGUAUAUGAGAUUACCAACUGUAAUGGGAAUUGAUGCCAAAUUAAUUAUGUCAUCGGGUUUUUCAAUCAGUGUUCAUCAUUUAUUUCUGUUAACAAUUAAUAGCACAGCUUGUCUUCGCAGCUUCAUUGGUUCCUCUCAAAAAUAAUCUUGUAAAGACAAUUUUUGUUUUUUGGCAUGUUAAAUGCUAGAUUGUUUGUGUGUAUUGGUAUUUGUUAUACUAUGUAUUGGCAAGACAGUUUCUUGAAACUGACAAACUUUUCUCUAUGAAGAUUGAAGACAAUAUGAUAAGAUAAACUUUAACAAAAGCAUAGAUGCUUGCCAGCGCUGGACCUUUGAUUAAUAGUCCUCGCCUUUCGUUCUUGUUUCAUAUUCUUCUGCUAACAAAUCUUGAUCAUGAUUGUCUUCUCUUUUCUUUGCAACCCACAUAUAAAGUCUCGGCCAUAAGCCUCGAGGCCUAUUCUCUUUUGUAAAGGUGAGUUGAAGAAACAGCAAGGGACUCCAAAGCAAAUGGUGUAGAGCACCUUUCACUUAUCACGGGCACAGGAUUACUCUGACUUUCUGCAUUUUACUGUUGGCUAUGGUUUGAUGCAUUAUUUAUUGUUCUGAAAUACCAUUCUCGUUGGAAGUUCAAUCAUUACUGUUUCUUUUUUCCCCCCUUUUUACUUGAAGUUACCUGAACUUCCAUGCAUGCUCCAAUAGAACGAGUAAUGUAAUGUAGGUGUUGACCAACUCCAAAUAAGUAGUUAGUUGCCUAGUAGUUGGAAUAAAAUUCUCAAUGAUUGCGAGCCUCGAUAGCUUUAGGAUGAACCAGACCAUCAUGAAUUCUGGUGCAUCUUUUAAGGUCCAAUUUCUCCAAGUUUAUCAUCAAGCUAAAAAAUGCCCUAAUUCCUUUUCCAGUAUUUUCAUAAUGCGUUUACUAAAUUGGAACUGAAAUGAACUAGAAUAAAAACAGAAAAUGUAAAUUAGAAUAAAUUAUUUACUUGAAUUGUAGGAAUUAGAAUCGGAAUAAGCUGGAUUGUUAUUGAUGUGUCAACUUUGUCUUGGAAUCAAAAUAGAAAUGAGUUACAUUUUAACAACUUACUAAAAAGUACUUAACGAACUAUUGUCAUCAUUAUUAUUUUAUAUUUUAAUUAUGGUGAUUAUUUAUUCAAAAAUUAUUAUUAUUAAUUAUUUUUAAUAAUAUAUUAAUAUACUAAUUAAUUGAAAAAAAAAUUAAAUUAAUUAAUUGUUAAUAUAUUAAUUGAUUAAUUAUAAUAAUACAUUAAUUAAUUAUAACUAAAGACAAAACAUACAUUUUUUUAUUCUGUAACAGGGCAAAAUGGUCAUUCCAAAGAAUGUGAGUUAAAUUGUUUAAUUUAAUUUAUAUCUGUUGUAAUAUAUAGCUUAAUUAUAGUGUAAAAACAAUGACAAUGUAAUUUUUUUUUUAAUGCUAAUACUAAAACUUUAUCAUCAUGCAAUUUUUUAUAAUUACUAUUUUUUAAUUAUUUAUGGUAUAUUUGUUUAUUAAUUAAAUAAACUAUUAUUUUUUUAACUAUGACAUAAAUGUUUAGUAAAAACUAUUUAUGAAAUAGUACUACCGAAAACAUAUUCUUUAUUUUUAUUUUUUUCAAUUAUGUCUACCGAACACAUAUUACUAAUUUCAAUUUUAAAAUAUAGAAUAUAGAAAAUGAUACCAGACGCAUAUUUAAAAUCAAAAUACACCAAUUGUAAAAUUUCAUUUUCAUUUUCAUUUUCAUUUUUUUUUCAGAAAAUGCUAAUUCAGAAACAAUACCGACCAUAAACUUAUUUUUGGUAUGAAUAAUGUUGUGCUACUUUUAUAGAACUUACAUGCAACCUCAAAUUUAUUAGAAGUAUCAACUGAAACCCCUUUUACCAAGUUAUUACAACUAUAUUUACUUCUUGAAGUGGGAGUGAGAAAUGUGGAUUCCUCAUACUCCAGUGAUUACUUGUAUAUUUUAAGGGAUGUGAGAAUUCCACUCCAUGGGUUCCACCCAUUUUUUGAGUUUAUUAUUUUAUAAAAUUUCAUUUAUUAAAAAGAACAAUAUCAAUCUCGUUUAAAUAAAAUAUUAUUAUAUUUAUUUGAGAUUAAUGAUUAAUAAUAAAUAGUUUAUUCUAAGAAAAUAUUAAUUUUCUACUAUGUUAGUAAUAAUAAUGUUUCAUUUCUAUUGCUCUCAUCAAUAGUUUUUAAUUUAGAUAAUUAAAUUAAAACUAACAAAAAAUUAUUAUUUACAUAAUUAAUAAUAUUAAUAAUUAUUGUUAAUUUAAAAAUAUAAUGAAAUAAAUAUUUUAUUUUUCAAAUAUAUUUUUUUAUUAAUUUUUAAUUAAAAACUAUAAUUUUUUAAAUAAGGAUAAAACUGUAAUCUGAAACUACUUACUCUUGAUCCGAGACAAAGUAAACAUGUAAAUUGAAUUUUAAUUCCAAUUCCAUACUCCUAUUCUAGUGUAAGUAAACAAUCUACUCUCAUUCUACACUCCCAAUCUCAGGAUUCACACUUCUCAGGAUUCUCACUCUAUUCGAAAAUGUAAACGCUAACAAAAUGUAGACCAGACAUAGGUGUAUAUAUAUAUAUAUUCUUAAUCAAACAUCAAAUAAAAUUCUUAAUUAAGUAAACCAUAAGGUGAUUGCGCAUAAAAAAUAAUAAUAAUAUUAAUUUUCAUAAGAAUUUAUGCUCGUAGUAUUUCAUUACUUUUUAUUAACCGUUGCUUCAACUUAUGGUGGGUAUUAAGAGAACAAUAAUAAUAGAGUUAUAAACGGUUGCAUACUAUCAAUUAAAUUAACACUAUAAUUUGGUUUACCAUACAAAUCCUUAAUAUCAUAAAUAAUUAAAUUAUUGGGGUUUUAAAAUGCAGACUUGCCAUGGCUCCUAUAAGUAAUAUCAGCCGCACUCUUUGUUAUUGGUAAAAAAAAUUUCUAGGUACAAUUUGUGAAUUUGUACAACGUGCGGUAUUAAACAUUUGAAGCAUGAACUGACAAUGUUGUGUCAAUAAUAAAGAAAAGAAAACGAAUUGUAUAAUACACAGGUGUUCUAGUGUAACUUGGAUUCUUUUUCUUUAUAAGUGCACCUAUUAUGUGAUUUUUUUUUGAAAAAAGAAAAAGAAAAAAAGAACUCUUGAGAUUUUAAAAUUUUGUAAUUGCACUAUCUUUAGAUUGUCAGGAGAUUUUCUCUCCUUAAAGAUGCCCUUAAUCCAUAAACGGUCCAAAAAAUAAUUCAUAAAAUGAAUUGAUUAUUUUAGAUAAGUUUCAAGAAUGCACACCUUUUAUAACUCCAUAUUGCAUAACUCCUCAUUUCACUCAAUGGAUGCAUUUGUUCACUUUUUCUUUCUUGUAAAUUUUUGAAUGGCCGUAAUUCUAUAGAUUAUUAGUUAAGUGUUAUUAUUAUCAUUUUUUUGUUGAUGCAUAUGUGGGGUGGGGCCGAUUGGGGGGCAUGGAUCUCAAUACAGCAGAGGGCCAAAAUAUUUAUUCUUUAAGAGGAACCACAACCAACAACAAUGCCUUAAGUUCCAUUCCAUGUUACUUCUGUGCACUAGAUUGCAUAAACAACAUUAUCCAAGGUCAAAGUCUCUCAAAGACUUUGGUUACAAGACAAAGCAUGGGAUUGCAGCCAAAAAUUUCUUGUAGUGAAAGGCUCAUAAACUGAUGACAAUUGUCGGAUUGUUUUGGGCCUCAAUAGUUUUAAUAUUAUUCUCUUAAAAAUAUAUAUAUUGAUUAGAGAUGAGAGGAAGAAGAUGAUAUGAUUUAGCCAGCUGUACAAGAAAGAGUACGCAGUGGAGUCUAGAUUUUGAUUUCUCUUGUUAAAUUAUUUUCAAUUUACUACAAGGUAGAAUAAAUUGCAUUCUUAAAAAAUACUUUGAACAUCAUAUUUUUGUAUUACAAAUAUACCAAAAAUUAAAUUACUUUUUUUUUUAUCAGUAUAAACUAAAAUUUGCCUGAAUCCUCAUCUUUGUAAGUGGAAUUCUAUUAUGAAACUAAUAGUCCUUCCUAGUGCUAACUGUCACUUUGAACAUGUGUCAUCUCUAACAACAACUUCCAGACCUGCAGCUAGCUGCUUUUUAGCAUUAGAAGUAGCAUCCACAUUGGCUUUCAACUAGCCAUAAUUCGGAGGAGGGGACCAUUGUUUCUGUUUGUCAGUUUUCUUCCUUGAAGCAUACGCCAUAAUUAGGAGGAGGGCAAGCUUCCAAAUAGCAUUUCGAAUGGUAUUUUGAAAAUCUUCCACCCUUUUGGUUAAAAAAAAUAAAAACCUUAUUUCUAGUUCUUUCUUAACAAUCUUAUCACUUUAAGUUUUCCUCUUAAGUAGGAACAUCAUAUAUAUUAAUUUGUUCUUAAUACAAAUAAAACUAAAUAUUUAUGACUUAAAAGAUAGGUAUUGAAUGGCAGGCGUCUCACUCAAUAUAUAUAUAUAUAUAUAUAUAUUUAAAAGCAAUGGUGAUAUCAUCAUUUUUUGUACUGAUAUGAAAAUAUCACACUAGAUUUUUUUCUCGCAUUACAAAAAGUUUGAAUUCAAGAAUAAAUAAGCAAUAUCAAGAACAAUUUUUACAAAACGCCUCCAGGACAUGCCAUAUGAAUUUGUGAUACGAAAAAUAGUAUACUAGUCACUGGAUCUUCUUUUCCUCAUUAGGAAAAAUUAGAAAUGCAAUCUAAAUUGAUAUCAAUAACUAAUUUUAUAGUGAAUGGGUCUUGCACGAAAACAAGAAAUUUUUUUAUAAUAUAAGAAAUUAUUAGUCAUUUAUCCUAAAUUUAUUUUGUCUCAAAAAAUACUACAAAAACUUUAACUUGCUUUGUUUUUUUACCUUAAUUUAUAAUUUGUAUCAGUCACUCUCUAAAACGAUAGAAUCACUUCAUAAAAUGACAAAAUAAAAAUAAAUACAAAUGACAAAACCGGUUCAUUUUAUAAGGAUAAUUCAAUCCGUUUGGCUUCAAAUUACAAAUUAAAUUAUUUCAAAUAUUAUAAAUUAUUUUUAUACUGGGUGAUGGACCUAAUCAUUUUAAUACUUAUGACAAUUUAAUCUAUCUAAAUAUAAAAUUUUGAGUAGACUUAUGUUUGAGUAGGAGGAUAAUGUAAGAAAAUUUGGCACUUUUAUUCAACUGAAGAAAUUUUACAAUUUAAAUUAAAAACGAUAAAAUUUAAUAAUUAACUAUUAUUUGAACUAAUUGAAUCGUGCGCCAUCAUUUGUGUAAUGUAUCCUAUUGCAAAAUAAACGGCAGGAUGCGGUUUGCGUUAAUGUAUCCUAUUUUGGUAAUUCUCUUCUUCUUCUUCAACCCCAAAUAAUCAAAAGCUCUCCAAUGGCUUUCGUAUCCUCAACUCGUUCAUUUCAUUUUACUACAAUUUCAAUAUCAGCUCUUAGUUGUAAUUUCUCCUCUUCGUUCCCUCAUACCAGAAAACUCACAUCUUCAAUUUCGGAAAAUGAACCCUCAUAUCCGACUACAACAGCUAAACUGAAGGAGUCGCUACGACUGACAGUCAAAGACCGAGCCUCACUAGAAAAUUUCCUCAGAGAAAGGUUCAAAUCAUCAGGUGAAGGUGAUAUUACUACUAUUACUCCUAAUGAAGCCUUUUGUAUCUUUGAUUACAUGCUCAAUAUGCGCCCUUCUCCGCCUCCUGUCUGUUCCUUCAAUAUUUUGUUUGGUUGUCUCGCUAAGAAUAAACAUUAUGAUACUGUCCUUUCACUCUUCAAGAGACUCAAUUCAACUGGGUUGUUUCCAGAUCUUUAUACUUACAAUAUCUUGAUUAACUGCUUUUGCAAAAUGGGUCGAGUUUCUCAUGGUUUUGUUGUUCUUGGGAGAAUCCUCAGGUCUUGUUUUACUCCAAAUGCUGUGACCUUUACUUCUUUGAUUAAAGGUUUGUGUGCGGAGAGUAGAAUCAUGGAGGCUGCCGCAUUGUUUACGAAACUUAGAGUGUUUGGUUGUGAGCCUAAUGUUUUUACAUACAAUACUUUGAUUAAUGGAUUGUGUCGAACUGGCCAUACAAUUGUUGCUCUAAAUUUAUUUGAAGAGAUGGCUAGUGGAAAUGGGGAAUUUGGUGUUGUUUGUAAGCCAGAUGCUAUUACAUACAGUACUAUUAUAGAUGGUCUUUGUAAGGAAGGUUUUGUGGACAAGGCCAAGGAACUGUUUCUGCAGAUGAAGUAUGAGAAUAUUAACCCGGAUGUGGUUACCUAUACCUCUGUGAUUCGUGGUUUUUGUUAUGCUAAUGAUUGGAAUGAGGCCAAGUGUUUGCUAAUUGAGAUGAUGGACCAAGGGGUACAGCCCAAUGUUGUGACUUUCAAUGUGAUCAUGGAUGAGCUCUGCAAGAAUGGAAAGAUGGAUGAGGCAAGUCGGUUGUUGGACCUGAUGAUUCAGAUUGGUGUGCGUCCAAAUGCUUUUGUCUAUAACACAUUAAUGGACGGGUUUUGCUUGACAGGUAGAGUUAAUCGUGCGAAGGAACUAUUUGUUUCUAUGGAGAGUAUGGGUUGCACACAUACUGUUUUUAGUUACAGUAUUUUGAUAAAUGGUUACUGCAAGAAUAAGGAAAUAGAGGGAGCGUUAAGCCUUUAUGGAGAAAUGCUCUCUAAAGGAAUUAAGCCAGAUGUUGUUAUAUAUAACACCUUGUUUGUUGUCCUUUUUGAAAUACACCAGGUUGAGCGUGCUUUCAAGCUGUUUGAUGAGAUGCAACGUGAUGGCGUGGCAGCUGAUACCUGGACAUAUAGAACCUUUAUUGAUGGGCUCUGCAAGAAUAGUUAUAUCGUAGAGGCAGUUGAACUAUUUCGCACUUUGAGAAUUCUCAAGUGUGAACUUGAUAUUCGAGCCUACAACUGCCUCAUUGAUGGAUUAUGUAAAUCCGGCAGACUCGAAAUUGCAUGGGAACUAUUUUGUAGUUUGCCUCGUGGAGUCCUAAUAGCAGAUGUUGUAACCUAUAACAUCAUGAUCCAUGGGCUUUGUAACGAUGGGAAAAUGGACAAGGCGCAUGAUUUGUUUCUUGAUAUGGAAGCAAAAGGUGUAGCACCCGAUUGUGUCACAUUUAAUACGCUGAUGCUAGGUUGCAUCCGCAAUAAUGAGACAUCAAAAGUUGUUGAACUCCUUCACAGAAUGGAUGAGAGAAAUGUAAUACCAGAUGCAUCUACACUUUCAAUUGUUGUGGACUUGCUUGUAAAGAAUGAAAUUAGCUUAAACUCCAUUCCACAAUUCAAGAGUCAAAGGUAAGUGAGUUUAAUAAUGAUUUAGUCGCAUGUUUCUUCUGCCUGAAAACUCAAUGUGGAGGAUCCUAUUCUUAUUACAACAUGUAAAGGAGUGUUGUCUAAUGUUGGCAUGUUCCUAGGUUCUGUCCAUGGAUUCUGUUUGCAGACAUGGCUAACUUCUUGUUCAACAGAUAAGUUUUAAAGUCUUUCAACUUUAUGUUGUAAAAUAACUUUCUUAUUAUUCAAUUCAUGAGUUUUCCUUCUGUAACACAUACUUCUCAUUAGAUGGAAGUGCAAAUUUUUUAGGCUUUUCCCGUAUGGCCUCUUUUUCUGCUCUAAAUAAAAUGGCAUUUUAUUUCCCUCCUGUGAGGGUACAAGGUUUAUGUAUAAACUUUCUGUUAGUUAAAUUGGUUGUCUUUGAUAUAGGGAACUUCCAGUUGAGCUGAUUUGUAAUUCGAGUAUAUGAGAUUACCAACUGUAUUGGGAAUUAAUGCCAAAUUAAUUAUGUCAUCAGGUUUUUCAAUCAUUGUUCAUCAUUUAUUUCUGUUAACAAUUAAUAGCACAGCUUGUCUUCUCAGCUUCAUUGGUUCCUCUAAAAAAUAAUCUUGUAAAGACAAUUUUUUUUUUUUGGCAUGGUAAAUGCUAGAUUGUUUGUGGUAAAUACAAAAUUGAUACAAUCAACUUGUAUGAUAAGUUUUAAAAGUUUAUUCAUAUUUAUAUUACAUAAUUAAAAGUUCAUUCAUAUUUAUAUGAGAUAUCUAUUUUAGGACACAGUUUAAUAAUCAUGGAAACUAACCAUUUAAUAACAAUUAUGGUCGUUUAACCUAUCUAAACAUGAAAUUGUCAGCUGGCUUAUCUUUGAGUAGGAGGAUAAUGUAAGAAAAUUAAUAUUUUAAUGUACAAUUUGUAUGCCAAGCGAAAAAUUUCACAAUUUAAAUUAGAAAAAAUAAAAUUUAAUAGUUAAAUAUUAUUUGAGCCAAUUGACUAGUGGGACAUUAUUUGUUACUGUCCAAAAAGCAUAACAUUAUUUUGAUAAAUGGUUACUGCAAGAAUAAGGAAAUAGAGGAAGCGUUAAGCCUUUAUAGCGAAAUGCUCUCUAAAGGAAUAAAGCCAACAGUUGUUACAUAUAACACCUUGUUUCUUGGUCUUUUUGAAAUACACCAAGUUGAGCGUGCUUUAAAACUGUUUGAUGAGAUGCAGCGCAAUGGUGUGGUUGCUGAUACCUCUACGUAUAAUACCUUUACUGACGGGCUCUGCAAGAAUGGUUAUAUCGUAGAGGCAGUUGAACUAUUUCGUACUUUGAGAAUUCUAAAGUAUGAACUGUGGUGUCCAAUUUCAUCACAUUUGGUACGCUUAUCCAUGGUUUUAUCCGAAUCAAUGAGCCAUCAGAAGUUAUUCAACUUCUUCACAUGAUGAAGGAGAAAAAAGUAAUGCCAGAUGCGUCUACAGUUUCAAUCGUUGUCGACUUACUUGUAAAGAAUGAAAUUAGUCUGAACUCACUUCCGUCAUUUCCUGUCCAAGAGCGACAGGGGGAAGUUGAUGAGUCAAAUGUCAAGUUGUAGCAGCAUGUCCUGUCCAUUGCUUCAAUCCUAAAUGCUUUGAUCUACCUGAAAAGUAUACAAAUAUCGGAGUUAAAACAGAGCAGAUUAAAUCGUAUUGAUGAACUCAACUGAGAUAAAUGACAAAAGAAAACUAACUUUUCCUGUUCAAAGCUCGCACACCUUCCUUUAAGAGCUGACUUUCCAAGAAGAGAUCACCACAAUCGUUCACAUCAACAGUCCACUUGAAAUUUUUUAUAACCACAAUAGUCAUUCCAUUCAAACCACAUCCUUGAGAUCAGUUCCUUCUUCAAGCAAGUGGGAUGGUCUUCCUCUUGAGGAGACUCAGCAGCAACCAAUCAAAGCACAAUAAAGGUAACAUCCAGAAUAAUGAUCCAAAUUUUUGUGGACUUACAUGCAAAGAAUGAAAUUGGUUUAAACUCGAUUCCACAAUUCAAGAGUUAAUGAGUUUAUCUUGAUUCAGUAGCGUGUCUCUUCUGCUUUAAAACCAGAUCUGGGGAAUCCCAUUCUUAUUACAACAUGUGAAGGAGUGUUUGUGUAUUGUUGGCAUGUUCCCAGGUUCUGUUCACGGAUUCUGUUUGCAGACAUGGCUAACUCCUCGUUUCAUCAGAUAAGUUUCAAAGUCUGGCAACUUUUUGUUGUAAAAAUAACUAUUUCAUUAUUCAAUUCAUGAGUUUUCCUUCUAUGGUGCAUCUUUCUCAUUAGCUGUAGUUUCAAAAUUUUUAGGCUCUUCCUGCAUGACCUCUUUUUCUUCUCUAAAUAGAUAAAAUUUGUUUUUCAUUUUUCUCUUGCGAGGGUACAGGUUCAUGUUGAAACUUUCUGUUAGUUAAAUUGAUUGUCUUUGAUAUUCGAACUUCUAGCUGAACUAGUUUGCACUUCGAAUAUAUGAGAUUACCAACUGUAACGGGAAUUGGUGCCAAAUUGAUUAUGUUAUCAGGUUUCCCAGUCUGUGUUCAUCUUGUCUUCUCUGCUUCUUUGGCUCCUGUCAAAUAUAAACUUGUAAAGACAUUUUGUUUUGGCAUGGCACAUGCUAGAUUUUGUUUUUGGUUUGAAUGAUAUUAGACAUCUAAGUAAUUGUCCAAAUUUUUUCGUUCCUAGUGACAAGGCAUUCAAUUGAAAUGGUGACUCAUGAAUCAUGAUUGUGUAUGUUGGUAUUUGUUAUACUACGCGUUAGACAAACUUUGUUGAAACUGACAUACUUUUCUCUAUGGAGAUUGAAGACAACAUAAUAAGAUAAAAUUUAUCCAAAACAUAUAUACUUGAAAGGGCUGGAACGUCUGUUAUUAGUCCUCGCCUUCCAUUCUUGUUUCGUAUUCUUCUGCUAACAAAUCUUGAUCAUGAUAGUCUUCUCUUUCUAUACAACCCACAUAUAAAGUCUUGGCCAUAAGCCUCGAGGCCUAUUCUCUUUUGCAGUGGUGAGUUCACUCUCAGGAAUCGGAUCCUUCAAAUUCGAGCGAAUUUGAAGAAACUGCAAAAGCCUACAAAGCAAAUGGUGUAGAGAACCUUUUACUUAUCACGGGCACAGGAUUACUGACUUUCUGCAUUUUACAGUUGGCUAUGGUUUGAUGCAUUAUUUAUUGUUCUCAAAUUAUAUUCUCGUUGGAAGUUCAAUCAUUACUGUUUCUUUUUUCCCCCUCUUUUUACUUGAAGUUACCUGAAGUUCCAUGCAUGCUCCAAUCGAACAAGUAACGUAGGUGCUGACCAACUCAAAAUAAGUAGUCAGUUGCCUAGUGGUUGCUUUGCAUGAAAUUUGUUUUUGGUAUGAAUAAUGUUGUCUUAAUUUUACAAGCUUCCAUGCAACUCCUAAUUUGUUGGAAGCAUUAACUCAACCCGUCAUUUAAGGUUAGAUUUAACCAUUGACUUAUGUUGACUAUUAAAAGUACUAUAAUAUUUUUAUAUUUUAUAAAUAUAACGAAACCUCACUUUAUUAACAAAUAUAAUUUAAAAUAUAAAAAAUCAAUAAUAAAAAAUAACUAAAGUUGAAAUCCAAGGAGCAACUUCUAUCCUCUAACCAAGUUAUUAAAUAUUAGAAUAGAUAGAGGCAUAUACUUUUCUUCAUGAUUCAGAAUCAUAUCUCAAAGUCAAAUAAAAUUCUCAAUGAUUGCAGGCCUCAAUACCAUUAAGAUGAACUAGACCAUCAUGAAUUUUUGUGCAUCUUGCAAGGUCCAAUUUCUCCAAGUUUAUGAUCAAGCCAAAAAAUGUCAUAAUUCCUUUUAUAGUAAUUUCAUAGUGUUUACUAAACAAUAAUAGAAAUGGACUGAAAGACAAAUAGGGAAUGCAAAUUAGAAUAGGGAUGGCAAUGGGGAGGGGGGAGGGGACCAACAUCCCUGUACCCAUUCCUGAUGUUUUGUAUAUAUCCUUAUCCCCUUCCCGUCCCCAUCAGAAUUGCUUAAGGGGAUUCUCGUCCCCUCUCUAAAUAAUAACAAGGAAUCCCCAAGGGUCCCCGAUCCCCAAAUAACUGAUAUAUUUGUUUAGUUUUCAAACUUAAUUUAAUCAUAUUAACCUAAAAAUAUAUAAAAUAAAAUGAAAAUGAUCAUGAAUGGGCCUUAUAUUUCAUUCUACUCUUUCAAACUUUUGAUAUAUAUAAUAUUCAAAUAAUGAUUUUCAAAACAAAAUUCAAAUAAUGUGAUUUUUAUACAAUAUUGACGUGAUUGUUGUCCAUGAGUAAUGAUACCUGCUGAUGACCGACUAUGAUGCAACAAAGCCGCAUAUGUGGCUGCUAGUUGGCGUUGCGAUGAGUUAGGCUACUCGGCCACUGACAACACAACGUGCUACUGAGUUAUGAUGAGAUGAAGACGAGUUGAGUGCUUACUACUGCAUGAAUAUUUUGGAAAUGAUGAGCAAGACUGUGAGAAAGUGAUUUAGAGUUUGAUUUGUGAGUUAUGAGCUUGUGGUUGUAAUUAAGUCUAAAUUAUAUUAAACAUUUUAUAUUAACUAAUAUUUAUAUUAUUUGUAUAAAUAUUUUGAUAUUUGUUAUUUACACCAAUAUUUUAUAUUUUACAAUUUAAAAUUUAUUAUUUAUUGACUAAUAAUUCUAGAAAAAUAAAAAAAAAUAUUAAAAUAGAGAAAUGGGGAGGGGACGGGGAUUACACCUCAUCCCCAUCCCUUCCAUGAAUAAGUAAUUGGGUAAAAAAUCAUCAUCGUCCCUUCCCCGAAUAAGAAGUUUGGUAUAAAAUCGUACAUGUACCCUCACCAAAUGGGAAAAAUCCCCAAGAGCCCCCAUCCCCAUCGGGAUUUCUGCUAUUCCUAAAUUAGAAUAAAUUAUUUAUUUGAACUGUAGGAAUCAGAAUCAAAAUAAGUUGGAUUAUCAUUUAUGUGUCUAUUUUGUCUUGGAAUUAAAAUCAAAAUGAUUUACAUUUUAACAACUUACUAAAAAGUGCUUAAUGAGCUAUUGUCAUAAUUAUUAUUUUAUAUUUUAAUUAUGGUAAUUAUUUAUUCAAAAAUUAUAAUAAUUAUUAUUGUUAAUAAUAUAUUCAUAUAUUAAUUAAUUGAAAAUUAUUUAAAUUAAUUAAUUAUUAAUAGAUUAAUUAUAAUAAUACAUUAAUUAAUUAUAACUGAGGAUAAAAUAUAUAUUUUUUAUUUUGUGAGGGGAUAAAAUGGUCAUUUCAAGGAAUGCGAGAGUCAUUCCUGCCUCCCUUGAGAAUUAAUCUUCCAUUUGUCAUUCCCAAAUUGCUGUGGACUCAACGAUUUUCAAUUCCGAUUCUUGACUCUAUUUUGUGAAGUAAAUGCUCUCAAUAAUUUCGAUUCCUCAAUCCGAAGAAGUAAAUGCACAGGUACUGUUUCUUCUAAAGCUCAAACUUGUCAGGUUUGAGAGACCUGAUAGAUACUUCAGUCAUGCAUCUAAUCCAUCAUAAGACAAACUGAAAGUUAGAAAUAAAAGGGACAACUCAAGGAAAAUGCACACAAGUGAGGUUUCAAAAUUAAAAUAGACACUUCAGCUGCAAAUCAGCAUACAUAUACAAUGGAGGUCAUACAAAUAUCAUUUCUACAACCGCCCUACUGUAUUCUUGAAUGAAGAUUGGUUUAGAGUCAAGUAAUAAGAUAUUUAAACUCAAGACAAAAAAAUACAAUAAAAUUUGCUGGAACUUAUAAGUAACUUACUCUCAUCUCUCCUCCUAAUUUAAUUGGACAUGCGUAAAUUUUCCAUGUUACUAUGGAUGAAAUAAAUUUUCUUUUUAUAAUAUAUGUAUGCAUUAAAAAAAAUUAAUAAUAAUAACUUUUACAAGCAUUUAUGCUUGUAUUAAUACUCUACUUUUUACCACACGAUUGCUUCAGUAAAUGGUGGAUGUUAAGAGAACAAUAAUAAUAGAAUUACAAACAAUUGCAUACUAUUAACUAACUUAACACUAUAAUAUUGUUUAUGGUGUAAGCACUCGAGGUAAUGUUAAUAUGCCAAAGAUUUAAAAAUAUUAGUUGUAGCUUUUGAAGAAAAAUAUACUUUCAGUUAGAAGGAAAAAAAAAAAAAGAAGAAGCUUUCUAACAAGAUAUCAAAAUGGUUAAUAAAAAGAGCAGUAGUAAUGUUACGAGGGGGUUCAAAUGGAGGGGCACGGGAAUUUCCAAAUUUGUAUCCAUUAAAUUUACCAAAAAAAAAAGAGAUUGGAUUGUUUUUUACAUAUUCUUAAUGUCACUUACUUGUUAUUUUUUUAAAUAUCAAACUUGUCAACUCUUAGGGGAAACAGGUAUUGGGGAAACAUGUAUUUAAGGGACUUUGUGCGGCUAAUUCUCAUCAUUCGCUACUCUAAACUUUAUUUUACAGAUUUGCGCAUCAUUUAUAACAUUUAAUUAAAUACACUUAAAUUAUAUAGAUUCAACGGUUCAACCUUCAUAUAUCACAUGAAGAGAAUACUGAAUUUUUAACAUCUCUCAUCAAGAGAUUGUACUGUGUUUACUCAAUUAGAUACUAAGUUUAUAUUCCAACUAAUGUCUUAAUAGUAUUUGAAUUAAAAAUGAUAAAACUUAAUAAUUAAUUAUUGCUUAAGUCAAUUAAAUAGUAUCAUAUCAUUUGUUUUAAAAAAAAAAAUCUUUGUUGUUUCAAGAUUAUUAAUCCUUUUUCAUUUAUUUAUUAUCAUUACUAUCUGCAACUAAUCAUAAUGAUUUGCAUCAACAUGUGAUUGUUUUUUUGACUCCAAGAACAGCUUGUCAAUAACAUGAAGUUUAUUUCUGACCGCCAAAGACCGAUACUCACUGGACAAAUUCCUAAAAGAAAGAUUCAAAUUCCAAUGUCUUAUACUUAUUUGAUUUGCAGUUCUUGUUAUGCUAAUGACUAGAAUGAGGCAAAGUGUUUUUUAAUUGAGAUGAUGGAUCUAAGGGUGCAGCAUGAUGUUGUGAUUUUCAAUGUUGACCAUAUAUGAGCUUUGUGAAAAUAGAAAGAUAGAAGAAGCAUGUAGGUUUUUAGAAUCGCAUCAAUGGAUGGGUUUUGCUUGACCUAGGGAACUAUUUGUUUCUGUGGAGAAUAAAGGGUGCAGAAAUGAUGUUGCUAAAUACAACAAGUUGAUAAAUGGGUAAUGCAAAAAGAAAGAAGUAGAGGAAGCGUUAGGCCUUUAUAGCGAAAAGCUUUCUAAAAGAAUUCUCCUAGAAUAUGUUGGGGGGAUGGAGCAGCUGCCCCCAUCGUACCCUAAGCCAACAGACUCAAAAUUGGAUGGGAACUUUUUUCAUUGAUUAUUUCACGAACGCCCGAUUCCAAAUAUGUAACAUACAACAUCAUGAUUCAUGGGCUUUGUAACAAUGGGCAAAUGGAUACGGAAGCAAGGCGUACGACGCCCAGUUGUGUCAUGUUUACUAAGCUUAUGCGAAAGAAUGACACAUCAAAAGCUAUUGAACUUCCUCACUCAAUGGAUAAGAGAAAUGUAAUGCGGGAUGCAUCUACACUUGCAACUGUUGUGGACUUUCUUUUAAAGAAUGAUAUCCGUUUAAACUCGAUUCCAGAAUUCAAAAGCCAAAAUUGAAUAUUGAUUUAGUAGCAUGUUUUUCUGCCUGCUGAAAAUCGGAUAUGGAGGAUCCGUUUCAUUAUACCAAAUGUGAACGAGUGUCACGUUGUGAGGGCAAUGUAAAAUCCUCGCCAUCUGGUUCGGUUCACCAAAGAAACUUCCCCAUUAAUUUCUUGAAAAAGUUAAGUUAAAACUGUAAAUGAAAGAAUCAUGAUGAUCUGUUUUGGUUUGUGAGAUGUUAGAAAGAGGCCAUUGUUAAAUAGACAUGAAUGCUGGAGAAAACUGUUAUGUUCUUUUAUUGAAUUAAGUUGAUCCUACUCGAUCUCUGCAUUUUAGAUUCCUACUUCAGAGUCGAAGAAGUGAAAGAUGGUGUGAAAAAAUUGUAUGCUUAAGUUAAUUUGAAUCCUUGUUAUUUAAUAAAAGCUAAGCUUCUUUCAAUCCGCACCUACGGUGGUCAUUUUUUUAUAUAUAUGGCGGCUAAUAAAUGGAUAAGAAAUAAUGUUUUUAAAAGACAUUUUUUUUUUCAAACACUAAAAAAGUUGCAGAAAAAAUAUUUAAAUAAUCUUGAUGUAUGUAUCUAAUAGCGUGUUUGUUAAGUGGAAAUAAAAAUGAGGGAACGAGAUACAUAAACUUAUUUACUUAUAAAGAGAGUAGGAGGAUUGAGAAUUAAAUUUGCUGGCCUCACAUCAAUUUAUGACUAACUCUUCGAUUUCUAAUUUCUAAGGGGGAUUUAGAAUCUAAAUCUCAUUUUCAAGACGGACUAUACUACCCCGCCCAAAUGUAAUAAUUUUCAUUUUGUCCUUCUUUUAAAUAUUUAAAAAAUAAAUAAAAAUCGCAUGAGUACUGUGCAAAGAUGGAUUGUUCUUGUUAUUGUUGAUGUUACUAUUACUAGCACCGCAUUACAUAUUAUUAAAUUAUUUUAAAUAUUACAAAUUAAAUUAUUUUUAAAUGAGUGAUAAAACCUGAUCAUUUAAUAACCAUGGCCAUUUAACAUAUUUAAACAUAAAAUUUCGUGUUAAAUUAUGUUUGAGUAUAAGGAUAAUGUAAGAUAAUUGGUACUUUAAUUUACAUUUAUGUGCCAACUGAAUAAAGUUCGCUAUUUAAAUUAAAUUAGAAACGGUGAAAUUCAAAAAUUAACUAUUAUUUAGCCAUUCAAACGCAGAGACAAUUUGUCACGGUUCCAAAAGCAUAGCAUCAUUGAAAGUACCGUAUCCCACUUGUAUUAAUAUUCGGAAGAAUGGAAGGAAAAGGGCAUAUGUUUCUCUUCUUCUAUUUUGGUAAUUCUUUUCUUCUUCUUCAACCCCAAAUAAUCAAAAGCUCUCCAAUGGCUUUCGUAUCCUCAACUCGUUCCUUUCAUUUUACUUCAAUUUCAAUAUCGGCUCUUAGAUGUAAUUUCUCCUCUUCGUUCCCUCAUACCGGAAAACCCAAAUCUUCAAUUUUGGAAAAUGAGCCUUCAGAUCCGACUACAACAGCUAAACUGAAGGAGUCGCUACGACUGACGGUCAAAGACCGAGCCUCACUCGAAAAAUUCCUCAAAGAAAGGUGCAAAUCAUCCGGUGAAGGUGAUAUUACUUCUAUUACUCCUAAUGAAGCCUUGUGUGUCUUUGAUUACAUGCUCAAUAUGCGCCCUUCUAGGCCUCCCGUCACUUCCUUCAAUAUUUUGUUUGGUUGUCUUGCUAAGACUAAACAUUAUGAUACUGUCCUUUCACUAUUCAAGAGACUCAAUUCCACUGGGUUGUUUCCGGAUCGUUAUACUUACAAUAUCUUGAUUAACUGCUUUUGCAAAAUGGGUCGAGUUUCUCAUGGUUUUGUUGUUCUUGGGAGAAUCCUCAGGUUUUGCUUUACUCCAGAUGCUGUGACCUUUACUUCUUUGAUUAAAGGUUUGUGUGCGGAGAGUAGAAUCAUGGAGGCCGCCGCAUUGUUUACGAAACUUAGAGUGUUUGGUUGUGAGCCUGAUGUCAUUACGUACAAUACUUUGAUUAAUGGAUUGUGUCGAACCGGCCAUACAAUUGUUGCUCUAAAUUUAUUUGAAGAGACGGCCAAUGGAAAUAGGAAAUUUGGUGUUAUUUGUAAGCCAGACGCUAUUACAUACAAUACUAUUAUAGAUGGUCUUUGUAAGGAAGGUUUUGUGGACAAGGCCAAGGAACUGUUUCUGCAGAUGAAGGAUAAGAAUAUUAACCCAGAUGUGGUUACUUAUAACUCUUUGAUUCACGGUUUUUGUUACGCUAAUGAUUGGAACGAGGCGAAUUGUUUGCUUAUUGAGAUGAUGGAUCAAGGGGUACAGCCUGAUGUUGUGACUUUCAAUGUGAUCAUGGAUGAGCUCUGCAAGAAUGGGAAGAUGGAUGAAGCAAGUAGGUUGUUGGACCUGAUGAUUCAGCGUGGUGUGCGUCCAAAUACUUUUGUCUAUAGCACAUUAAUGGACGGGUUUUGCUUGACUGGUAGAGUUAAUCAUGCGAAGGAACUAUUUGUUUCUAUGGAGAGUAUGGGUUGCAAACAUACUGUUUUUAGUUACAGUAUUUUGAUAAAUGGUUACUGCAAGAAUAAGGAAAUAGAGGGAGCGUUAACCCUUUAUAGCGAAAUGCUCUCUAAAGGAAUUAAGCCAGAUGUUGUUAUAUAUAACACCUUGUUUACUGGCCUUUUUGAAAUACACCAGGUUGAGCGUGCUUUCAAGCUGUUAGAUGAGAUGCAACGUGAUGGCGUGGCAGCUGAUACCUGGACAUAUAGAACCUUUAUUGAUGGGCUCUGCAAGAAUGGUUAUAUUGUAGAGGCAGUUGAACUAUUUCGUACUUUGAGAAUUCUCAAGUGUGAACUUGAUAUUCGAGCCUACAACUGCCUCAUUGAUGGAUUAUGUAAAUCCGGCAGACUCGAAAUUGCACGGGAACUAUUUCGUAGUUUGCCUUGUGGAGUCCUAAUAGCAGAUGUUGUAACAUAUAACAUCAUGAUCCAUGCGCUUUGUACUGAUGGGAAAAUGGACAAGGCACAUGAUUUGUUUCUUGAUAUGGAAGCAAAAGGUGUAGCACCCAAUUGUGUCACAUUUAACACGCUUAUGCUAGGUUGCAUCCGCAAUAAUGAGACAUCAAAAGUUGUUGAACUCCUUCACAGAAUGGAUGAGAGAAAUGUAAUACCAGAUGGAUCUACACUUUCAAUUGUUGUGGACUUACUUGUAAAGAAUGAAAUUAGCUUAAACUCGAUUCCACAAUUCAAGAGUCAAAGUUAAAGUGAGUUUAUAUUGAUUUAGUCUCAUGUUUCUUCUGCCUGAAAACCCGAUCUGGAGGAUCCCAUUCUUAUUACAACAUGUAAAGGAGUGUUGUCUAAUGUUGGCAUGUUCCUAGGUUCUGUCCAUGGAUUCUGUUUGCAGACAUGGCUAACUUCUUGUCCAACAGAUAAGUUUUAAAGUCUUUCAACUUUAUGUUGUAAAAUAACAUUUUUAUUAUUCAAUUCAUGAGUUUUCCUUCUGUAACACAUCCUUCUCAUUAGCUGGAAGUGCAAAUUUUUUAGGCUUUUCCUUAUGGCCUCUUUUUCUUCUCUAAAUAAAAUGGCAUUUUGUUUCCCUCCUGUGAGGUACAACGUUUAUGUUCAAACUUUCUGUUAGUUAAGUUGGUUGUCUUUGAUAUAGGGAACUUCCAGUUGAACUGAUUUGUAAUUCGAGUAUAUGAGAUUACCAACUGUAUUGGGAAUUGAUGCCAAAUUAAUUAUGUCAUCAGGUUUUUCAAUCAGCGUUCAUCAUUUAUUUCUAUUAACAGUUAAUAGCACAGCUUGUCUUCUCAGCUUCAUUGAUUCCUCUAAAAAAUAAUCUUGUAAAGACAAUUUUUUUUUUUUUUUUUGGCGUGGUAAAUGCUAGAUAGUUUGUGGUCUGAAUGAUACUAAUAAUUGCCCAAAUUGCCAUGUAACAAGGAGUGUUGCAUAGUGAUGUCAUGCUCACAGGUACCACUCAUCAACAUGGCCAACGCUUUCGAUGCAGUCAUUAUUAUGGAAAUUCAAGAGUUCUCCUCCUAAGAGGUCUCUCUCUCGUUCUCUUAAUUUCCUUAUUCUGUUUUGGAAGUAAUGUAAUGGGAAAAUAGCAUUUAAUUUCCUUGUGUGUGACAUUUUCUUCUAUAAAUGCUAUAAAAUAUCUUUUUUUUUCAUCAUUGAUAUGUAUUACACAAUCAGAAGACUACUCGUAUUUAUAUGAAACAUCUACUUUAUGGCACAGUUCAGAUUUUUAUCCUUAUAAAUAUUGGAGGGAUAUCUUUAUGUUUCUUCUGUGAUAACGUUUCUGCGUGCUGCAACCUUUUUAUUAGAUUGAUAGAAUGUGAAUACAAGGAAAUUCUGUUUGAUAAUCUCGGCAAACCAGGAUUAAUAUGAAAUGGAGCGUCAUCAACAAAUACUUAGCAUAUUGCUGACUAUGAUUUGUUCUCCUCCCCUCAUUCUUUUUGUGAGUAGAAUUGGAUUGUGAAACUUGUUAUGUCAGCACAAGUGUUCUUACAAGUUGACGUAAAAUACACUGACUUGAAAUAAUGGCAUGGUAAUUGGUAUAGAUAAGCUAGCAUGAGUAUAUUUUGUCACCAAUUUCGCCAACCGCGUCUGGGUGUGGAAAUUAUAUUGCAUUUCUAAUGUCAUUUGAAAGAAAAACUUGCAAAAUUUGUAAUUUGUUAAAUCUGAACCGUGGUUCACAUCUACUCUUCCCGAACUUGAGUCAUAUGAUUCAAUUUUUUAGUGGGCAUGGCGAGAUAGAUUUCUACCAAGCCCAACCCAUUUAUCUACCCUUUUGUAAUUUUCUAUCAUGCAUAUAUUUAUAUUUUUGUAUAGUUAAUAUCUAAUUAUUUAUGUAUUUUUAUCGAAUAACUACUAAUUAUAUUUUUCUAAAAAAUCGGCAUGAAAAGUUCAACUUAAUAUUGAAUUAAAUUUUGAUAAGUAUAUGUCAAAUGUUUGGAAUUCUUUUUCUAGUCUUCAUGAUUGAUUAAUUGGAAAAUAAAUGUGUAUGUAUUAAAAUGGUAUUGGAUAAACAUGCCCCUAUCACCCAAGUUUUCCUUUGGAUAAUUUCCUAACUUGCAAGUUGAUAUCGAUGUUUAAAAAGAACCAAAAAAAAAAAAAAAAAAAUACAUUGAAAUCUUUAUAAAUUACUUCUUGACCUAAUAGUUGACACUUUCUCACCUUAUUCUUGAGGUUGAAGGUUUGAAUUUUCUUAUGUGGAUUUUAGGUGAACUACAGAAAAACAGCUUAUAUGAGACAUUUUCAAAAUAAGUAUGAAUGUGGUACUUAUUCAUCAGAUGGACAUAUUAAUGACGUGAUAAAUUCGUGUUAUGUAAAUUUUCCAGACUGUAUAUUUAUAUUAUAAUAUUAAAUAAAUAAAUAAGAAGAAAGAAAGGAAAAUGCAGCUUCCAAAUUUUUUCAUAGAUUGGCUAUAUGCACAAACAGCAAAUCAAAACAAAAAGAAAGGAUGUGACAUGACCUUACUUCCUGUUAUCCCAGUUAUGGAAUUCAAGUCAAUCUUUGAAGUAAUGCACUUUUAUUACUCUAUGACAGAGACAGGUCCAAGUCUUUCUUCCAAAUUCAUAAUCUUCAACAUUUCUCCAACCAAUCAAGCAAGGCUAGAGAUAGGUAACAUACAUUUUGAUGUACAUUUGGCUUUUGUAUCAUCUACUUCACUAGUGAUCCAUUAAAUGGAUCCACCAUUAACGUAAAUGCUAGUUUAACUAUUGACAGUGGAGCAAGUAUGUAUGUGGUCCCUACGCACAAGCAUACACGCCCAUUAAAGCAUUUACUCUCCUCAUCAUUGGAUAUGAAUUUUGUGAACUAUAUAUCUUUUUGGGGGUUUCAUUUAUCUUUCCGGUCUCUUAUGAUCAUUCACGGCUCCUGCUGCUGCUUCUUAUUGGCUCUUUGACAUCCUCUGUCUUGUUCUUGCUGUGUGUGUCAGCCACUAGCAACUGCUUCAAGCAAUGUGAGUUUGUUGCGUGAGCUUCCGUUUUGGUUAUUUUCAAUUAUUAUUUUUGUUGAUGGGUUUGUGAUUUUGUGCUGUAUUAUUACAGGAUUACACUGUUUAUAUGGAAGAGAGAAGAUAUGAUGAGCCUUAGCUGGUUCAGGAUUCGGACCAUCAGAUUCUUUCGGAUAUUCUUGGAAGGUUUAUAUUUCAAUCUCUUUAGCCGAAUUUACCUAUUAUAUUUUUAUCAUAUAAACGCUAUGCAAAAUGUUUAUGUUAAUGUAUGGCGAAAAUUGAAAAAUGGAAAAUAAAAAUAUUUGUGCUGCUUUCACUAUUUAUCUAUGUUAAUCUGUUUGAUAAAAUGAAGUGGAUGUCAUUAUUUCCAUGCAUCAGUAAUUACAAUCCAUAUUAUGCUCUUGCUAGUCUGUGCUCCAUUUGAACAUCGCAACGAACUUAUUUACUUACAUAUAUUUUGUGCUUUCUGGUUGGAAAUUGGAAGUUUUAACCAAUUUCUGAUCAGAAACAGCCCUUUUGAGUGCUAUGGCAGAAACCGCAGACGCGGCCUAACCUUCAUUUUUAAUUUGUAUCAAUUGGUAGUUUUUUAUAACUCUCUCUUUUCCCCUCUAUCAAUAAUGAAUGGUAUUCGCUAGAGAAACCGUAAGGGGACUAAUCAUUGUGAAAAGCACUAGGUGAUAACUAGCAGUUUCAAUUUGACAGCAAAGAAGCUGCUAAGGAAUCAAUUCUCUGUACAGCCACAAGCAUGGUUUUUCUGGAUUUGCCGCAGUCUUAACAGUCUCAAGCCAAGUUAACUGCAGGUGUUAUAAUGUUGGUGAAUGAAAUCUGUUUUAGCUGUCCAAAUUUGUUUUAUUAACCAAUAUUUUCUGUUGAUACGUUUUGUAUGAUGCAUUUGUGCAGAUCACCCUGCCGUGGUCUGUAUUGUACCAAAUAGGACACUCAGUUUGCACACAACCAAAAUGUUGUGAAUGAAAUUCCUUCAAAAGGCCAUUCAGGCGCUGGAAGUUAUUUUCAGAUUCAUGGAAAUAACUAUAAUACUGGUGGCAUUUAGUUUCCAAGUGAUCUUGGUAGUUCAAUAAGUUCUAGUUCUACACUUGUUUCCAAAGGUUUUGGUUACAUGAUGGUCUGCCCGUUGAAUUACAAACUUGUGAUGAUUUGUACAAGAGGAAAAAAUGUAUUGGUUGGAAUUUUUGUUUCAUAUGAUAUAACUCUGUGAAACAGCUUUACAUUUUGUGUUCAAGUUGAACAACAUACAAUUUGAACGAAGAUUAUUCAAUCAAAUUGAAGAUUUCUGUUUGAAUAUUUUGAAUGACAAAAUUAAAUUUACUUUCAUGCAGAUGCAGUAGCAUUUAAUCAAGUUCCUUGUGCUGUUGAAACAAAAAUAUAACAUCCUUGCUUGCAUUUCAACAUGAUAUGAUGCUACUCUUUUACUGUUAACCAACACACAUACAUCAUGUAGGCCUAAUGGCAAAUGUUGUAAUAUAUAACAUCAUGAUCCAUGGGCUUUGUAAUGAUGGGCAAAUGGACAAGGCAUCAUGAUCCCCCCCCCCCUCCUUUUUUGCUAUGGAUUGUAUUUCUUUUUUUUUCUACUUUUACUUGCGUUGACAAUUUGAGCUUGCUGUCUUGUGGUCUUAGAACCUGCUAAAGUAAGCGUGUAAGCGACAGUGAAGAAGGGGAAGGGUUUACUCGUCAUUUUCUUUUUGAAAGCAAUGCGUUUUAUGCGGUGAUAUUUUUUUUAUCUACGUUGUGAAAAAAUUUGACUGAUUUUGAAGAUCCUUAAAGAUCGUCCAUCUUGGUUCUGGCAUUGUUGCAGCCUUGAAGUUUGCAAAAUGAUUCCUGCUGGAUAAAUUGAACAGCUGCCUCUUUGAUGGAUUAUGUAAAUCUGGCAGACUUGAGUUUGCAUGUGAAUUGUUUCGUAGUUUGCCUCGUCGAGUCCUCGUGGCAGAUGCUGUAACAUAUAACAUCAUGAUCCAUGGGCAUUGUGACGACGGCCGAAUGGAUAAGGCACAUGAUUUAUUUCUUGAAAUGGAAGAAAAUGCUGUGGCACCCAAUGUGAUCACAUUUGGUACGUUUAUCCAUGGUUUUAGCCAAAUCAAUGAGCCAUCAAAAGUUAUUGACCUUCUUCACAAGAUGAGGGAGAAAAAAGUAAUGCCAGAUGCAUCUAUAGUUUCAAUCGUUGUGGACUUACUUGUAAAGAAUGAAAUUAGUCUGAACUCACUUCCGUCAUUUCCUGUCCAAGAGCGACAGGGGGAAGUUGAUGAGUGAAAUGUCAAGUUGUAGCAGCAUGUGCUUUCAGCCCAAAAUCCUGAUCCGCAGCAUCUCAUUCAUGUUACAAAAUGACAUGUUGGCUGGUGACAGCAUGUUCUCUCCGGUGCUGUUAAUGGAUUCUGAUUGUUCUUGUGAUCUGGAGAGUUUCAUUCAUAUUACAGAUCCUUAUCAGGACGAGCUAGCAUAUGUGAUCACCAACUGUACAUGGUUGUUGAUGCCAAAUUAAAUUAUGGUAUCAUGUUUUUCAACUUGUUAUUUAAUAUAGUGCUUCCAUUGAACGGCCACAAGAAACUGUAGAAUCACCGUGUCUUGUUUAGAAGCUAAUGAAUUAGUUGCACCUUGUCACUUUAUUGAGACUUGAUUGUCAUUUGUGCUUUGAAUUUACAGCAUAUUUUAUCCUUGCUGUACUCUUUGCAUAAUCACUUUUGAGGGCUGCUAGUAUGUAUAAUUGAAAAACCUUAUAUAAAUUGUAAGCAUUUUUAUUUAACUUGUUGUAAACGUCCAGUAUAUGUCUCUCCUGUGAAAUGAUUCAUUCUCCAUGCUGCUAGGGCCUAGGCUUAUGACUCUCUGAAAUGAUUUACCCUCACCUGCGCACAGACAUUUAUCACAUUCGAGAAAUCUUCAAACAAUGUGAAAAAAAUGCCUCAAACACGACAUAAACUUAGUUGUUUACAUGAAAAGUGGCAGAAACUUGGUGAAAUUACCGAUUAAACUUCCAAAUAACAUUUCAAAUGGUAUUGUGAAAAAUUUCACUCUUUUGGUAAUAAAAAAGAACCUUAUUUCUAGUUCUCUAUUAACAAUCUUACCACUAAGUUCUCUCUUAAGUAAACACAUAUAUAUGUUAAUUUAUUGUUAAUAUAAACAAAACUAAAUAUUUAUAACUUAAAAGAUAAGUGUUGAAUAGAGGCGUUCUCACAGGGAAAAAAAAAAAGUAUUUAAAAAUAGUGGUGAUAUCAUAAUUUUUUAUAUUGAUACGAGAAUAUCACACUAAAUUUUUAUACCAUGUAUUGGCAAGACAAAGUUUCUUGAAACUGACAAACUUUUCUCUAUGAAGAUUGAAGACAAUAUGAUAAGAUAAAAUUUAUCAAAAGCAUAUAUGCUUGCCAGGGCUGGACCUUUGAUUUUUAGUCCUCGCCUUUCGUUCUUGUUUCAUAUUCUUCUGCUAACAAAUCUUGAUCAGGAUGAGUCUCCUUUUUUCUUUAAAAAAAACCCACACGUAAAGUCUUGGCCAUAAGCCUCAAGACCUAUUGGCUGUUGCAGUGGUGAGUUCACUCUCAGGAAUCAAAUCUUUCAAAUUCAAGCGAAUUUGAAGAAGCUCGAAUUUGAAGAAAUUUCAAAUGCCUCGUGCAGGCCUAAUGCCAAAUGUUGUAACAUAUAACAUCACGAUUCAUGGGCUUUGUAACGAUGGGCAAAUGGAUGAGGUACAUGAUAUAUUCACGCUUCUGUCUAUAACACAUUAAUGGAUGGGUUUUGCUCGACGGGUAGAGUUAACCAUGCGGAGGAACUAUUUGGUUCUGCCAUUGUUGCAGCCUUGAAGUUUGCUAAACGUUUCCUGCUGGAUAGAUUGAAAAAGUUUGUCUGGAUGGCCUGGUUUUGAAUUGAUUUUAAUAGAAAACGAGCUUCAAGCAUGUGCUCCAACUACUCUGGCAUGAGGUAAUACUAUAAUUUAUUUAUUUUUAAUGAGUGAGGCUAUAAAUCCUGAAUUCCAACUUGACAUGGCAUUAAUCUGGUGAGUGGCAGAAUAUUAAUUAAAACAAAAUCAUUUUCAACUUAACUUUCACAUCAAACAGAGGGGCUAAUAUGCUUUCCGGAUUAUGAUCCGCUGGCAAUCGGAAAGCCAAAAAAUUAAUUAUUCCAUUAUUAAUUCCAAUAGUAUCGCUGUAUCAGCUAAAAAGCACAAGAUUAAAUUGAUUUACGCACUUGCACCAUUUAUUUAAGCAUACUGUUGGUUUAGCGUUUGCUUAAAUUUGAAAGUAGAGUGUUUCCAUGCCACAGUGCCAUGACAUUGGUGAUUGGCCAACAGUUUUUUUUUUUUUUUUUUUUGUGUAAUCUUUUUUGGUUGCAGUAAUAAAAUGUUAAUCCUUUCUUCUCAUGAAUGUUUUCUUGAACUGAAAUGUUAAUCAUUUCUUCAUGUUGAGGCAUUAAACUACUACAGACCUAGGGUGGCAAUAUAUGGAAGUAAAUGGUCGUUUAGUAGGACCCUUUAAUUAGGGUAUUAGCUGCUCAAUUUGGAGAUCUCAUGGACCAACAAUUUAUCUGGAAUGUCACAUUCACAUAUUUGAUUGAAAAAGGAAUUAAGGAAUUUCAGGUGGCCCGGAAACGCAACCAACUAUACCCGACAAUGGCAGAAGACAUUAUAGAUUAUCGAUUAUUGAGUUAAAUAUGAAUGGUGGGAUUUCAGGUGGCCUAAAAAGUUAAACAUGAAUGUUCUACAUAAGGUUAUCUGUAACUUGAAGUUCAACAAAAAGUUUUAAAACUAGAUAUUACAAUGGUGGGAUUUUGCCUUUUAUCUCUUGUUUCUCUUCCCUUAAUCGUUUCUUGGCAUGUUUUAUCAGCUCUUCCUUUGGGUCAUUUUGUAGGACGGGUUACACCAGCUAAGCACAUGGAAAGGUUAUGUAGACUGGACUCUGGAGGAAUAAACCUGCCCUGAGAGGCCGUCAUGGUGGCAUGCUUUGCUGCUUGUUUUGUCUUGGGUCGGUCUAUUUUUCCUAUUACUAAGGCACAUUUGCACCGUUAUGUCUUGCGAACGAUUAAACAUUUACACUUUAUAGUAAAAAAAAUUACAUAUUAAGAGAAAUAUUAUAUUUGCAUGCUGAUAUGAAUUAGCACUAGAAACAUGAGGCUUGCUAAUUAGAAUUGUUAUAUUGUCAAACUCAGCUGUGGAGGUACUGGAGAAUCCAGUAUAUCUGGCCAAUGCAAGCAACCUUGUGCUGUAUCUUUCAAAGUUUAUGCGUUUUUCACCAUCCAGCUCUGCAAACAUAGUUACCAAUUUCAUGGGUUCCUCUUUGCUCUACUUGGUGGCUUUUUUACGGUUGCUUUCUUCAACACCGACAGCAGCUAUGUCAUAAGUGAGCAAUAGAAUUCAUGGUAAGUUUUUUGUUAGGAUCAAACUUUUUAACUUGUUAAAUUUUUGUAAUUUCUUACUAAUAAGGCAGAGUUGCCUAUUUUUAUCCGAUUAUCAUGCCUCAUACAAUUUUCUUGGGAUUUGCUUCGAUGCCUCUGUGACUCACCAUGAAACUCAAAAACUUUCUAAAACUAGCUCCAAAUACACAUUUCUUUGGAUUAAACUUCAUUUGGUACUCCCUCAGCAAACCAAAUGUUUCUUUCAAAUGCUGCACGUGGUCACUCGAGUUGUGAGACUUUGUGAUAAUGCCAUCCUUAUAUGCCUCCAUUAUGUUCCCAAUCAGCAGCUUGAAGAUCUUAUUCACGAAUCUCUAGUAUGUUGCUCAAACAUUUUUCAAGCCAAAGGACACGACAUUAUAACAAUACAGCCCUUGGUUAGUAACAAAAGAAGUAUGCUCCUCAUCCUGCUCGAACAUCGGUACAUGGUUGUAAUCCAAAAAGGCAUCUACAAAGCUGAGAAGUCCAUGUCUAGUUGUGGAAUCGACCAACUGAGCUAUUUUAGGCAAUGGAAAAAUAUCUUUGAGGCAUACCUUAUUGAGGUUCAUGAAAUCCAUGCACAUUCUCCACCUCCUGUUCACUUUCUUCACCUACAUCACGUUCGAAAGCCGCUACGAGUUGUUUACCUCCUUGAUGAAACCUGCAUGUAAAAUUUUAUCCACUUCACUACUAAUGCCGUCAUACCUAUCCUAGUUAAAGCAUCUUCUGUUUUGUUUCAUCGGUCUCGCAUCUCUGCUCACUGCUAACUUGUGACAAGCCGCCUUGGCAUCGACCCCUGGCAUAUCUUUGUCCUGCAAGCCAAACACAUUAAAAUGUGGUUGCAACAACUCCACCAGCUUUGCUUCCAAAUCUUCCCCAUGGGUGGCUUUAAGUAUAGGCGAACAAGGCCGUCGCCUAAGCUCUCAUAUUUUAAGAAGACCUCAUUUUUUAAGUAUUUCCUUAAUAAUUCUCUAAUUAAUAAAAUAUUUUAAUAUAUAUUUUAAGAAAUUAAAAAGUUUAUUAGAUAUCUCUCUAUUCUUAAUUAUUCUAUAAUUAAGAAUUAUUUUUUAUAAAAAAAUCUAUAUUUGGGAACCUUAAUUUUAAAGAAAUAAUUAAUACUAUUCUUUAACCAUUAGUUCAUUCCUUUUCAAUUAUUCAAUGUUAGCAUAUUUGACUUUUAAUAUUUCUUUUAAUUUCUAUUAAAAACCUCAUAAUCUCAAGAAUUAGUAAAUGAAAAAAAUUUAUUGUUCGCUUCUCUACAAAUAAAAUUUUUAUAUUCGUUGGUUCAUUUAAAAUAAUUAGUUUCUUAAAAUAUAAAGUCCAUUUUUAUUUUUGAACAUCAAUUCAUCAUUUUAAAAUUUUUAUAUUCUAUCUUUCUAAAUAUUCUAUUUGAAAAUAAAAUUGUUUUUAUUUAUUUGUUUGUUUAUUUUUUAACGGUUUUAAUGGAAUAAAAAAAUUAUCUUCUUGACUAUUUUUUAGGUUUUAUUUUUUAAAUUUUUGAUUUUUUUAUUAUUGUUGAAAUUCAAGAAUUAAAGAUGGAAUAAAUUUUGAUCCUUUGUAUAUAUCUUUGAGUAUUAAAAUUACAAAACAAUAGAGGUCUCAUAAACAAAUUUCGCCUAAGGCCUCUCAAACUCUAAAGCUGGUCCUGAUCUUCCCCCUAGGGGUAGCCAUAAAUUUUGGGUUCGAUUUAGUUUAACCUUUAAAAUCCGAACAUGUUUAAACUUAGAACCUAUUCGUUUUUAAUUGUUUUGUCAAACUUUUAGGAGAUUAAAGGGGUGUGAAAGGACAUAAGAAGUCUUGUUAUGGCUUGGCCCUUUAUAAUAGAUAUUGGUGCACAUGCUCUUUUCUUCUAUAUUUUUAGAGAAAGAAAAUUAGUAUAUGAUCUGUUUGAAGUCGCCUGGAAUUUCAAAAAUCCUAUGCUUCAAUAUAUUAUUAAUCAAAUCCCCUUAUAUCUUGAUAAAAUCUUUUUUACUCUUUCAUUCGCAAGGAGCUGGAUGAUGGCUGGAAAUAAGGAAAUUCCUUUUUUUUUGUUUCACCCCAAUUGUUCUUGUAUUUGUAUAUUGCCAUAUAUCAUAAAAUACAAAUUUAUGUAUGUCAAAAUGAAAUCGAUCUUAAAAAAAGAAAAAAAAGAUCUCGCGUUACUGCCGCUUACACACCCCCAUGCCACAGCUGCUAUUAAUUCCGUUUGGCGCACCAGCAUUACAGCUUCUAGCUGUUCUUUCUUCCUUGAGUUGAUUUGGUUCCUCGUUCUAGGCUUCAAGUUAAUGUCGUCUUCAGCCAUUCUAGAGUCGUUUACUUUUGAUCUAGCUGUUGCUGUCUCUACCUCCUUCUUCAUUAAUUGCCAUCAGCCGCAUAAAGGAAGGAUGUGAGUUUAUGUUUACGAUUCCUAAUGGUGAUGAAUAAGACAUGGUGUAAGAGAUGUUGUUAACUGAAUUUAGUAUGCUUUCUAGGAUCAUAUGCAAUACAUAUGUAUUUCUUGUAUAAUUGUUGUUUGUAUAUUGUAUUUCAAUCGGGCAUGGCUAUCUUUGUCUUACUCUUGUACAUUUCUAUUACUUUAGAUAACUAUUAAGGUGUAGAUGGCUUUCACGGAUAAAUAAUAAGCAAUUUUAGGAGCUUUUCGUGUAAAAAUAUAGAACCUAUAUUGUUGAAAUGUCGAGUAUACUUAGUAGUUGAUAUUUGUUUAUAUUUUUACAUUAAUCUGGGAUGGGAUUUGAACUUUAUAACCGAAAUUGAAUCUAAACCAAAAUUAAGAUAAGAAUAUUCAAACUAAAUCGAUCCAAAAUGCAAACCUAAACCAAAUUGAGCUAAAUUAAAUUUGAUUUAGUUUGGUUUGGGUUUACUCUCUAAACCUGAUUGGAUUGACUUCUCCAACCCAAUUAAGUUUUAGCCCAAAUUGAAACCUAAACAACCUGAAUCAAAACCCGAUUUGCCCACCCUUAUGAUACGAACCCAUCCAAAAACUAACGCAACCCUAAUCAAUUUAAUCUCUAAGAUUAAAUAGAAGCACUACCCAAUGUUCAAUGAAAGCAUGAACCUUAGUAUGUGAGGAUGCUACAAUCAAUUAUGGAUGAUUUGAUUAUAAGUUAAGAGUUUGAAUGACACAGAAAUUUGAUAAAUUCAAAUAGUUUGUUUAAGAAUAAAAAAGAAUUAACUCUCUCACUAAUUGCAUCAAAAUUUAUUUGUCUUUGUUUAUUAGAUGCGAGUACAUUAUAUAGGAUUGGUUACAAAAAUUUUUAGAAAUAAAUCCUAAACCGAAAUCAAAUCAGAAUCCUAAUCUAAUGCAAAUAAGAAAAGAAUUUUAGUCAAAUCAUAAUCCUAAUCAAAGCAAGUAGGAAAGAAUCUAAAUCGAGUCAAAAUUAUAAUCUAAGUAAAUAGGAAAGAAUCUAAAUAAAAUCAUAAUCCUAAUCGGUUUAAAUAAAUUACAUCAAUUAAAAUAAAAACUCAACAAUUAAAAGAGAAAUAACUUCUUGUUUCUCCACCAGCAUCAUCCAGAAACGGGAAAGUAUUCAAAAAGAAAAGUAGCAUAUUUUUCAAAUGGAAAAGUAUAUGAAAAAGAAAAAUAAGAUAUUUUCUCGCCGUAAUGUGCAAGCCAACUUCCUAUUUUAUGGAAGUGAUUAUUUGGAAACUUUAAGAGCCGUAAUCAUGUAUUUAUCACGUGCAAUUCCUUCAAUAGGCCUCUAUAAAUUUGAUCGAGCCUCAAUUACUUGAAUAAACCCAUUAAACGCUUCUUUAAAUUUGUUUGUUCGAGCUCUAGUGACAGGUCCAACGAUAACUUGAAUAGGAUUUGAAUAUAUCUCAUCCCACGUGCUUGUGAUAGUUUUGUCCUCAAUCUAAUCAUUUUACUUCCCUAAUCUCGACCCAAUCUUUAAAAUUUUUUCAUGCUAGCUUGACUUUACUAUGACUGCCUUGAGAUUUUCAACUGGUUUUUAUCUCUCUUUCUUGAAAUCUCUUCAAGUGUCAAGUUAUCUACGUGGCUUCUUUAGUCGCGGACACAUAAUCGCACCUAACAAUUCUCUAGUCACCCUUUACAACUUUUGCCACACUAUUUACUCAUUCUUUGAGUGCCAUGUAAUGGUUAGACAUCAUGGACUUGCUAAUCCUCAUAAAGGGUCUUCCAAAAAUUAUUUGAUAUGGGCUGUCUUCCUCGACUAUUAUAAAAAAAACUGGCAUGAUGGUCUUUUCAAAUGGUCCAGAGCCGAUCGUUACUAGCAGCUCUAGGCAUUAAUUUUCCUCUUCUAUAUCCUUUCAAAGAACUGUUGGUGUGCUUGUUGGGUAAAAAUUCAAAUACUAUGGGUGUCAAUGUGUAAGUAUACACAACAAGUAAUAUAAUGAUAAAUAUACAAGAUCAUCUCCACAGGGGUUGAUGUUACGAAAAUUACUACAGCAAGCUUAACAAUUUUGGUUGAAGUGAAAGUAGAUUGAUCAAUUAAACAAAUAAACUACCUAAUAAAAUGCAAUAAGUAAAUAUGCAGAAAAGCAAACUCUCAGGUCAAACACAAAAAUAAAAUCAAUAGGAAUGAAGUAGUUGAGUGACUAAACUCUUUUAAUGGAAUUGACUAUUUCUUGCAAAUUUCGAUUCAGUUGCUGCAGCAUCUGCUACAGUACUAGGCAUAAUCCUCAUGCAUCAUCAGCUGUCGCAUGUUGGAUGUCUUAUAUCUAUAUGCAACCUAACAAUGACCAAUUGUUAUGCCAACAUAAUAUAUAUCAUUACACAUUUAGGUUCUAUUUACCCUAUAAGGUGAAUCCCUAUAUCUAGUUCAUCACUAAUUUUAGAUUAAGUAUGACCUUUUUUGGAAUCAAGUUGAACUCAAUCUAGGAACCCAAUCUAAAACUAAAUAUUAUUCUAAUAUGUUCCACUAAGAUAAGCCAUUUUGUGGCUCUUUCCUAGCUUGUACCAUUAAAUGGGUAGUCAGCUAAAAUAAUGACUUUAAAUAAAUACUAUCACAACAAAAUGUUAUAGCAAACAUGCAGCCAGGGACGUAGCCAGGAUUUUGAUCGAGUUGGGGCACAUUUAAAAUAAAAAAUGACUUGAAUGCGCGAUUGCUCGUGUGGUAAGUGUGGGCCCCACAAACUCCAAAUGGGAGCUUGCCACAUGUACAAUCGUGCUCCUUAUAGAGUGUUUCUGACUGCAUCUAAUUAAAAUGCUAUUAAAAUAUAAUACACUUCUAAAAAUUUAGAUGGAAAUAUAUAACAUUAUGUUGAGUGUUAGAAAAUGGAUAUUUAUAAAGGAGAAAAUCGUCAUUUUACAUUUCAAGUCUUACUAACAACCCUUACUUUUAUGUAUUUAAGCUUCUUGUAAUUUAAUUAUGUGUGUUUGAUUUUAAUUAAGUAUUUUAUGUAUUUUAGGGGCAUCAUAGUCAAUUCACAAUAAAUGAGAGAUCAAACGAUAAAACGGACAUCACUUUUGAACUCAGGACGGUCGAAAACCUUAAGAGAAGCAUAAAAGGAAAAAUGGCACUGUUCACAUGUACGGUACUAUUCAUAUGUACGGUACUGUCUACGUUACUGUUCACGACACUGUUCAUAUAGACGGAUCGAUGACGUGGCAUUGACCGAUGAUGUGGCAUUCACUGAUGAGGUGUCAUGAUCCUGUUGGACUAAAAUUCUUAUGUACUGUUGAUGGUGACGUGGCAGCAUAUUAGUGGACUAAAAAACGUGUGUACGGUACAUGCAACACAUGGGAAUAUUUUCAACCAAACCGCAUUACUGUUCAAACCGUGUCACUGUUCAAACCGCGUGGUCAAACCGUGUUACUGUUCAAACUGCGUACUGUUCACUGAUGACGUGGCACAAUCCUGAGCAUCCAAACUGUUUUCAAUCCGAUGGCCAUGAUUUACUCAAUGUAUCUAUAAAAAUGGGACUUCUCCCCCCGAACGCAUGCGAUUGCUCAUGAGGAAUAACAUACCUGCUGAUAUCUUUUGGUUAAUCGAGGUGAAAGUACGAUUGGCAGGUGAGUUACCUCCAAAAUUUAUUGCAUACAUGCCUGGUUGUGGUAAAGAAAAUUAUGCAAGAAAACGAUGAGCUCGAAGAAUUUCUGUUGCUUGUCAUAAGUAUGCCAGAAUGAGUUGCGAUAAAAAUCCAUAUUCUUUAGGAAUGGCGUCUGAUAACAGGGAAUAUAAGAUUCAAUUCAUUAGGGAUGACUUGAAUAAGGAGUCAUUGGAUGAUAUCCUUUUAUCUCUUGAAACGCAUCCCAUUAGAUAUGUGCAAGGAACGAUUAUUCAGUUAUGACCAUUAUUCCAGAAAGAGCAUGCACGAUAUAGUCUCGGGAAUCUGACUAUAAACGACCAUGUUUGCCAGUUUAUAAAAAAAUUGGAUGGGAAGCCUAUCCUAGACCCAUAAAGGGCGUUCAAGCCGUUUCUGGACGUAAAACCAGAGGAAGAUGUGAGCCACAGUCGCAACUACCUGUAAAUAUCCUUUUACUUUACUGUUAUUUUAUUUUACUGUUGUUUUAUUGUUUGUAUUAUUGUCUUUAAUAAUUUUAUUGUUGUUUGCUUUUUCCUUUUUACUGUUUCCUUUUUUACUCGCGAACCAUGUGCUUUACGCGUUAUUUGACACUGACAUACUACCUCAUACACAGCUGUGACCCACUGUCCCCAAGAUUCUUAAAUAUGAAUUUUUGUCAAGCACUCACAAAUUAUUUUUGAGAAGUAUCCCAAUGACAGCUACUCCACAUAGACAAUUUAAGAACAUUUGUGUGCUUUCUGGAUUUAACUAUGGCAAACCUAAAGAGUUCGUUGAGGCAGCCAUAGAUCUUGGUCGAAGCAUAGCAGAGAGAAAAUUACACUUGGUGUAUAGAGGAGGUAACUGAGGGUUAUUAAAAUUGGUCUCAAAAGCUGCUUUUGUCAGAGGAAGCCAAGUGCUAGGCAUCAUCCCAAGCGUCCUAAAACCUUUGGGCAGUUUGUCUGACUCAUCGACUGGAGAAGAGUUAGUCGACUCAGGUAUGCAAGCAAGAAUAACUGAAAUGCUUAAUCAUGCUGAUGUUUUUAUUUUCCUUCCAGGAGAUCUUACAACACUAGAGGCACUUAUCACACUAGCAUCUUGGGCCCAUCUGCACAUUCACCAGAAACCCAUCGGUUUGCUAAAUGUCAAUAACUUUUAUGAUGGCUUUAUCGCAUUUCUUAACCAUGCAAUAAAAAAAUAUUUCAUUCCUUCAAAUGCGAAAAAACUUUUUAUUUGUGCUCACACUGCUACUUGAUCUGUUACAAGCUCAUAGACCGGAGCCAAACCCCUGGACCUUUGUGUUGGAGCGUCCAAAUAAUGAUGGUAACAGUAGCAGCAGUAAGAAGUACAAAUUAGAUUUAACUCUCCGCUUGUAAAUAUUUUCUUUUGUGUUGCACCACUCAGGUGAUGCCUUCUACACUCUACUUCUUUCCUUUAAAACAUUGAGGACAAUGUUUCAUUCUGGUUGGGGAGAGGGAAUAGUCGACAAUUGUGGAAUCUUGGUUAAGUUUUUACUGAUUUUUUGUUGUAGAAACUAACUGUUGCUAACUUUUUAUGUUGAAGAUGGCUGAAUAUGGAGUGUAGUGACUCUAGAAACGCAUCUUCAUUGUUUGAAAAAAAUUAAAAAAAAAAAUCAGACAUUUUCUUUUUCUUUAUUAAGUUUUGAUGUUCAUUUUUCUUCUUCUUUUUAAUUUCUCCUCUAUAAAUAUACAUUUUCAAAUUGUUGAGUCGAAGAUGGCUGAAUAUGGAGUGUAGUGCCUCUAGAAACGCAUCUUCUUAGUAAAAAAAAAAAUUUCUUUUUCUAUCAUAUUAAGUGUAACUUUUCUAAUUAGUUUUUAUACAUCCUUUUCACAUUUCUGCAUGCAUAUUUUCCUUUCAUGUUUAGGAUAGGUUGGGGGGUAUAACGUUGUUUAAAAAAAAACAAAAACAAAAAAAAAAAUUUGUGUGAUUUGUUUUAAUAUUGGAUGACAUGAUUAAUUUCAUAUUUUAGUAUUUGUAUUAUCUUUGGUCUUAAGUGAUGUUACACUAUGUUUGCUACUCUACAUGUUGAUGUCGGAGAUAAAUAUGAGUUGCUUGAAGGAAUGAACAUGUCAUAAUAAGUACCAAGUGAGUUUUUGAGCCUAUCAUUUUUCUUGGAGAGUAACCCUUUCCCACAUUUUUUAUACAGCUUAACAGUUUAUUAUUUUAUACACGAUCUCUAGAUUUCUUUUGAGUUAACCCUUAAAACAAAAUUUGUAAAAAAAAGAAGAAAAAAAUGUGUGUUGCUACAUUUGGAGGUCCAUCUAACUAGUAGAUAUGGAAGAUUAUUUAGAGCCCUAAAAGACGGUGGAAAGGUCAUCUUUGAUCCGUUUGAGUCUUUCUACCCAUCCCUUUUAUGAAAUAUCUAUUGUUAACCCUUUUGAGCCUUUUAAAAAAAAAUUAAAAAAAAAAAACCUUUUCUUUGUCAACUUAUCAUCUUGACCCACUCUGAUUUGGAGUAUUAUCCAAUAUCUUACAAGUUCCAUCACCUAUUUAUGUUUGAGAAAAAUGUAAAUAAAUAUUUUGUACAGUGAAGUUAUGCCCAACAAAAGCAAAAACAAAAAAACAAAAAAUUGUUAUUUAAAAAAAAAAAGAAAAAAAUAACAAUAAAAGGUGAAAUCCACCUUACAACUUCAAAAAAAAAAGUUCUCUAUAGUUUUCUCAAACAUACACUUUGUUUUCCUUAUUUCCCUUCUUUGUUAGUCAUGUCCCUAGCCUACGUUACGUCCUAAUAAAAAUCCUUCUUGAUUUUAGGGAACUAUAGUCUGAAGUAAAUUGGGUUGACUACCAUUUUUGUUUGACUUGAGAUCGUAUUAUUUCUAAACUGAGGGCAUAUUUCUUUCAUCUUGGUGAGAGCAUGUGAUAUCACUUCUUUAUUAUUUUCUCUCAAUUAUCAUUCAUUGGAAUAACUAUUUUUAUUGGGUUUAAUUUCUUUGUAAGAGUGUCACUACUUCCAGUGAGAUUUUGGGGUUUGACAUGUCAUUCUUGAAAGUAACUGUGACAAUCUACUAAGCUGAUUCAUGUGGAUGGUUGAUGUGGGCGUGAUGUUCCUUUAGACUGGAGAUAAUGCUUAUACUUUUAUUUGAUUACUAUCAUUAGUCUGAUUAAAUAAACACGAGUGUUUAAAAAAAAAUCAUUUUGAAUUUGAAUUUUAUUUUCGCUUUAUUUGCUAGGGACUAGCAAUAAGUUGGUUGGGGGGUGUGUUGAGUAUUAGAAAAUGUAUAUUUAUAAAGGAGAAAAUAGUCAUUUUACAUUUCAAGUCUUACUAACAACCCUUACUUUUAUGUAUUUAAGAUUCUUGUAAUUUAAUUAUGUGUGUUUGAUUUUAAUUAAGUAUUUUAUGUAUUUUAGGGGCAUCAUAGUCAUUUCACAAUAAACAAGAGAUCAAACGGCAAAACGGACAUCACUUUUGAACUCAGGACGGUCGAAAACCUUAGGAGGAGCAUAAAAGGAAAAAUGGCACUGUUCACAUGUACGAUACUAUUCACAUGUACGGUACUGUCUACGUUAUUGUUCACGACACUGUUUAUAUAGACGGAUCGAUGACGUGGCAUUGACCGAUGAUGUGGCAUUCACUAAUGAGGUGUCAUGAUCAUGUUGGACUAAAAUUCUUAUGUACUGUUGAUGGUGACGUGGCAGCAUAUUAGUGGACCAAAAAACGUGUAUAUGGUACAUGCAACACAUGGGAUUAUUUUCAAUCAAACCGCGUUACUGUUCAAACCGUGUUACUGUUCAAACCGCGUGGUCAAACCGCGUACUAUUCACGCAUAUUGUUGACUGAUGACAUGGCGCAAUCUUGAGCGUUCAAACUGUUUUCAAUCCGAUGGCCAUUAUUUACUCAAUGUAUCUAUAAAAAUAGGACCUCUCCCCCCUAAUUUGGAUCUCUGAAUCCAUUUUUGGACUCUAUUUUAUGUAAUUCCUUCUCCAUCUUGUAUUUUCUACGUAUUUUAAUAAAUUCUCAUUUUGCCCCUAGUUCAAUUAUGAGUGGCUAAUUUUCUUUCAAGUUUGGGUUGAAGGUGAAGUCUCAACAUGUGUCAUGGGCUUUAUUUGGUAAAUUUAUUUUCUCUUCCCCUCUUGUUUUUGUGGAUGUUUUGACUUUUCGUUGACAAAUAAUAAUAAUCUUGUCUAGUACCGCCCUGGUUUCACCGGCUCCCUAGUAUAAGAUUAUUAUUAUUUGGCACGAUAAGCCCUUAGCACCAUAUUGAUUAGAGCGUGGUUCAUGAGGUGUGGAUUCCCCCCUCAUGAUUUAAUUGGCAUUAAUAAGGAUUAUUUAGCCCAUGAUGCAUAUUGAUACGGAUCCAGAUACUCAAGUACGUCAUUUCAAUAGAUUUUCACUUCAAUUUAUUCUUGCCAUUUCAAUUCCAAUUUUAGGAUCAUUUAAGUCACUUUCACCACAAAAUCCAACCACUUCAUACAAAAUUAAUUCUACAUAUAACUAAAAUCCACCUCCUCGUGGGAUCGACACUCGUCACCAUUAGUCUAUUCUACAAUAGAUUCGUGCGCUUGCGAGUUCAAUAAAAUUUGCACAACACAUUACAACUAUAAUAUUCAUUGCUAAUAAAUUUACUUAGUAUAAUUGGUCUCAGUGAAAACUUCUCAAUGCGAUUUUAUGAGUUGCAAAUAAUGCAUUAUCAAUAUAAGCACAAAUAUAUUUUUCAAUAUACAAGACUAGGUUAUAGCUUAAUUUGCUCUUAAAAUCUUUUAAUAAUAACAAAAAAUAUUUAUAUAUUGUAACACACAAAACAAAAUGAAUGCUAGAUAAAAUUCUAGAUUUUAAAACUAGACAAAAGAUUAAUCAAAAAAUUAAAAAUUAGAAUUGGGUAGACUUACAACUUAUGGUUCAAUGUCGAAAUACCAACUAUUUGAUUUUGCUUGAAUAAAAAACAAAACGAUUAAAGACUGGUCCAUUAACCAUUUUACUAACAUUUUGUUGUGAUUGUUUUUCAUUUUAAUAUUUGUUCUUGUGUCUUUAAUCCAGUUUCAUGAAAUGUUAAUAACUAAUUAAAUUAUUUAUAAUUAGAAAUUUAAACUAUGGACAAUAUGAAAUAUUUUAAAAUUACUAGAGUCAGUUUCAAAUUUUACAAUUCAGCUGGGGUAUUUUUCAUAAAUAACAAAUAAAAUACAUUUUUUUAGUAUAAUUAUAAAAAAAAUUUAAAAGCCAGCAGGGGCAUGUGCCCCACUCGUCCCAUGCUGGCUCUGUCUCUGCAUGUAGCAACAUAUAAAUUCAGUUAAUGAGCCAUUAAAGUUGUUUAUCACUCAACCACAAGGAAUAUUAGUUCAUGAUUUUCAAAACGAAACUAAACAACAAAGUUUCAGCCGGCAAAUACAUUCUCAUGUCAAAGAAUAAAAAUAAAUCAAAAUAAGAAUAAGAAAGACUGAAUUCCAAUUGAUUCCGGCAAACUUCUCCACUGAUGCAGUCUUGAUUCUUGCUCUUGAAAUCUAUUUUUCCUUGUUUCUUUUCUAUUUAUGAUCUUGGUUGACGGCCGCCUUUUUUCUUUUGUACAUGUGCCUCUGUUAUAGUCCAAAAUUAGGGUAAACGGAAGUUCAGAGCGCGCAUCUUCCCAAUUAGGAAAUUGCAGAUUGCAAUCCGUUAAGUAUCUUGCGCGAAAUCUUCUCUGUCAUUGUUCCCGAAUUGCUACAUCACGGUUUUCUACAGCAAUAGCUACAGUAUAUGCACUGUUCCAAAUUUACUCCAAUUCUUCUAUAGUCGUAUUCUUUUGUCCUUUUUGCAAACCCAUUGCUACAACAUCCUUCCCAUGAAAAUUUAACUUCAGGUUACCUACAAUUAUGCAUAUGUUUUAAGGACACAAUUAUUAGAAAUCAAGCAAAUUUUAUUAAACUUAAACUAAAAUGAAUGUUAAUGUAAACUAUCAUUAAAUGCACUAAAACACAUCAAUUACCCUCUAAGUAAUCUUGAUUUUAAGUCUAAAAGUAUCAUGAUAAUCUUAUUUCAUAGAGUUUUCAAUACUCUAACUUCAAGUUGCACGAAUCUAUAAGGAUUCUUAUGAAUUCUUUGCUCGUUACAUUAGCUUUUAACACCAAAACAUCUUCAUGCAAGUAUAGUAUCCCUUCCUCAUCGUAUUAUGUCCAAAUGAUUGGAACUUGCUUGGUUCUUGCUCAUUUUGUCAAUGAAGCAUUGAAGAGAAUAUCAUGACUUGUUAUUGCAUACCUUUUGUAGUACUUCUAGGCUUUGUUAGAGUUAUUUACUAGAGUUGGCCCUCUUACAAUAACUCUAGCUACUGGCUCUUCAAAAAUCAUAUCACCAGUAUUCUUUUUUGCUGUAUGCACUGUUGAUCUGUCAUUGGAUAAGAACUGUCAAUAUACUUAUUCAAAUAAUAAUUUCUUACUAGAACUUCUACUUGUUUUUUUAAGUCGUGACACUGUGGUUUGGUGUGGCCAUGGGUGUUAUUCAUCAGCAUUAUCCUAUCUCUUAGGAAAUUUUGGCAAGUAAGGACUAAUGAAGGUAGGUUUUGGUUUUGGUUUAGUUGACCUUGUAUUUUGAGUUGGGUUAACUUGGAUCAUUAUAGUGAGGAUGGCUAUCAACUAGUUAUAUCAUUUCAAGUAGCUCUAUUUAGAGAGGGGUGGGGUUAAUUUCUUUUUACAUAGUAUGGGAGAUAAGAGUGGCCAAAAUCAAAUUUAGAUUGGAUUCGGAUCAAUUUGAUCAUAUAUUAAAUUUUUCGGAUUGACUAAAAAAACUCAUCUGAAUGUACUCGAACUUGAAUCUAAUAUGAAUAUAUUUGGAUAGGAUGAAUAAUUUGGCUUAAGUUAGAUUUGGAUCGGUUUGGUAAAUCUCAAAUUUAAUUUUAAUUUACAGGUCACUAUACUCAAUGGAUAAGACAUAAUUUGUAUAUCUCUGUAAUAAACAUUCAAUUUUGAUAUUCAACUACAUAGAUAGAAGAAAAAUAAGUCAUUUACAUUACAAUUGUGGUGCAUAUCACUGAAAAGUAUCAUAAUAAUUCAUAUUUUUCCAACCAAAAUGAAAAGAAACCAUAAUUUAAACAACAUAAUAAGCAAAUAGAAUUUCUAAAGAAAAGGAAAAAGAGUAGAUGUAAGCUAGAAAAAGAGAAAUCAUGUAUUAGAGAAGAAAAGAGCAUUUUUGCACAAAAACAACUAAUACCAAAACUAAUAAAAAAAUCUCAUAUUCAUUUUCCAAUUUUCUCAUAAGCUUACGCAAUUCUUCCUCUUCUACUCUUCAAAAUCAUUUGCCAAUUUUCUCAAUUUUCUCAUAAGGUGAUCUUUGGUCUUUUGAUGAGAAAAUUACUUGAGUAACUUACAACUGGUUAGGUUUGGGAUUUUGGGGAAAACAAGUUAGGUUUACACAUUACAAACUUCACUAGUCAAAUUGUCGAAUUACAUCCGAAUUAGAUUUGAUCCGAUUAUAAUCUCAUCGGAUUGGGUUGUUUCUAUUUAAUCAAAUUACAACAAUAAUCCAUAUUCAAUUUGAAUAUGUUUGGAUUGAAUCAAAUCCAAUCAAUCUAAAUCCAAUUCGAUGCUAACCCUUAUGGGAAUAAGUAGCCAUCCUUAUUAUGACCGCUCUACUCACUGAUGGUUUGUCAUGAAGCCUAACUAGUCCACUUAUUUUUUAGCUCUCCUUUCAUUUCGUUUUAACUCCACAAGUUACUCGUCUCUAACUCUUGCUGCUUUUUCCUCCUCGAUUUCAAUAUCCACCUUCACCUAGUCAUAAGCAGUUGAAUAAGAGUUUAUUAUUGGGUUCCUUAAGUUAUACCACAAUUGGCCUAUCUUUACUCCCUCUUUUAAUCCCUUCAAGGCCUGAAGAUGAUUGAAAGCUCCAUAGUCAAGGAUUGCUUGGUGAUAUCUCUUGAAAAAUCUCUUAGAGUUUGAUUUUCUUCCUACUCGAGCCUCAUUGGCUCUAUCAUGUCAUCCUCUGGUGUUAUUGCUCCUAAAAAAUGUUCAGCAAAGUCUCCAUGCAAUUGAUUAGAAGUUCUGAUGCUUCCCUAUGGCAAUUUGCGAUACCAAUCAUGUGCAUGCUAUUCUAAUGUCAAUGGAAACACUCGACACCACUGUAGUGGUGUCAAACCAUGUACUCUAGUCAUCUCAUUAAAUCGUUCUAUAUGCAUAAAGAGUCACUCUUUCUGGAAUAUUUGAGGUUUAAAACUAAUCCCUUGAUAUUGUUGUGCUCAUGAUUUUUGCUGAGAGUAAGAUUCAUUAUCCAUAAUUAUUCUCCAGCUCAGUGCUCUUUCAAUCCUAUACUUCUUCAAUAAUUCGUGCUAACCUAUGCAUCUUAUCUUCUAAUUUCCCAACGCGACUUGGGUUCUACACCCUUAUCUACUUGCAGUCAGCGUUCUGUUUAUUCCAUAGAUUUUCACCGAAGUACGUUUUGGUUGCUCUCCAAAAAAAUAAAAAAGAAAGAAAUCACCUAAUACUUUUGGGGCAAGGCAAGCUUCCAAAUAACAUUGCAAAUGAUUUGGUGAAAAAGCUUUCAUCUAUUCCGGUAAUUUAGAAGCACUUUAAUUCGAUUCUCUCUUAAGAGUCCUAUCACUUUAGGAUGAUUUUUAAGUAAAAUCCUUGUAUAUAUUAUAUUUUUGUUAAUAUAACAAACACUAAAUAUUUAUGAUCUGAAAGAUAGUUGUUGAAUGGAGAUCGUUUCACACAAAAAAAGUAUUUAAAAAGAAUGUGGUAUUGUAAUAUUAAAUAAUUUUUUGUAGUGAUAUAAGAGUAUCACACUAGUUUUUUUUUUGCAUUCCAAAAAAUUGAAAAUAAGAUCUAAGUAAUUUCAAGAAUAAAUUAGCAAUAUUAGGAACAAGUUUUACAAAAAGCUUCUGGGACAUGUUAUACAAAUUUGUUAUAUAAGAAAGUCUCUACUAGAUCUUCUUUCCACAUUACAAAAAUUAGAAAUGAGAUCUAAAUCGACCAAUUAUAAAUUUUAUAGUGAGUGGGUCCUAUAUGAAAACAAGGUUUUUUUUUAUUAUAGUGUAGUCAAUUAUCAGCCAUCUACCCUAAGUUUAUUUUAUAUUAAAAAAAUACUAGGAAGAAUUAAUUUGUUUAGUUUUUUACUUUAAUUUUAUAAUUUGUAUUAGUUGUCUAUUAAAAAGAUAGAAUUAUCCUUACUAAAUGACAAAAUAGAAACAAAUACAAAUAACAACUAUGGUCAUUUUGUAAGGGUAAUUCUAUCUUUUUGGCAUCGAAUUGCAUAUUAAACUAUUUUAAGUACUUAAAAUAAUAUAAGUUCUUUAUCAAAUAAAUAAAAUUUUAAACUAUGUAUUUACCAAACAUUUUAAAAUCACAGCUCCUCUACUACAUCUCCAAAUAAAUUCUUAAAAUCAUAAAUAACUAAAUUAAUGGGGUUUUAAAAGGACUCUCCGGAUUUUGCAUGAUUUCUUUAUAUAUAGGUGCUGGGUGAUCAUGUUGGUUCCUAUAGGUACCAUCAGCCACACUUUUUGUUAGUGGUGAAAAAACAAUUUUGGGUACAAUUUGUGAUUUGUAUAACGUGCGGUAUUAAACAUUUGAAACAUACACCGACAGUAAUCUAAUCAAUAAUUAAAAAAAAUUGUAUAAAAUACAUAUGUCGUAGGCAACUCAGAUCCUUUUCUUUAUAAUUCCAUAUCAUGUGAUUAUCAAAAAACUUCUUGAGAUUUUUAAAUUUUGUAAUUGCACUAUCCUUGAAUUAUCAAAAGACUCUUGAUAAUGUUCUUCUUCUUAAAGAUGCCCUUAAUCCGUAAAUGGUCCAAUAAUUAGUUCAUAAAACGAAUUUAUUACUUUAGACAAGUCUCAAAUAUGCAUACCUCUUAUAACUCCGUAUUGCAUAAUUCCUUACUUAAAUGCAUUUGUUUCCUUUCUCUAAAUUUUAGAAUGGCCUUGUCUACUAAAUUUCCUCUUUAAAUUUGACUGCCAACUAGGAAUUUCGCCAAAAUUUCCACCCCAUCUUACUCUCUGAAAUAUGUCUUCCACGUUACUAUAGCAAAUUUUACAUCUAGGAUACUGAAACAUUUUUUUUUUUUCAAUUUUCAAAUAUUUAGCUGUUGACAAUAGGUCUUUAGCUGCUCACCAAGAGAAAAUUUUCAUCUAAAACUUUUUUUGAUAAGGCAAGCCUCCAAAUAACAUCCAAAUGGUUUGGACAUUCAGUUCUACUCAAAAUUCAGAUUAAUUCACACAUAUUUAGAUUUUAGACAAGAAACAUAUGCCACCUAAAUAUUUAUGACUUAAAAUUAUUUAAUAAUCAUGGCACAUUUAACCUAUCUAAACAUGAAAUCUUGUGGAGACUUAUGUUUAAGCAGGAGGAUAACGUGAGAAAAUUGACACAUUAAUUUACAAUUUGUACGCCAACUGAAUAAUUUUUGUUUGUUUUUUGUUUUUGAUAAUAAAACAAGCCUCGCAAGAGCUUAGGUUUUUAGCCAACUGAAUAAAUUUCCCCACUCAAAUUAGAAACAAUAAAAUCUAAUAAUUAUGUUAUGAGCCCAUCAGACAAAUAGUGAGACAUCAUAUUGUUAAUACCUACUCGUAAAAUUAACGGGAUAACGCGGUUUAUACGGACAGAUUAUCAAGGUAUUGUUAAUACCUUCUGUACCGGUAAUUCUUUUUUUCUUCUUUUUCAACCCCAAAUAAUCAAAAGCUCUCCAAUGGCUUUUGUAUCCACAACUCGUCCAUUUCAUUUUACUUCAAUUUCAGUAUCAGCUCUUAGAUGUAAUUUCUCAUCUUCGUUCCCUCAUACCAGAAAACCCACAUCUUCAAUUUCGGAAAAUGAACCCUCAGAUCCGACUACAACAGCUAAACUGAAGGAGUCGCUACGACUGACAGUCAAAGACGGAGCCUCAAUCGAAAAAUUUCUUAAAGAAAGGUGAAAAUCAUCAGGUCAAGGUGAUAUUAAUCUUAUUACUCCUAAUGAAGCCUUGUGUAUCUUUGAUUACAUGCUCCGUAUGCACCCUUCUCCGCCUCCGGUUUCUUCCUUCAAUAUUUUGUUUGGUUGUCUUGCUAAGAAUAAACAUUAUGAUACUGUCCUUUCACUCUUCAAGAGACUCAAUUCAACUGGGUUGUUUCCAGAUCUUUAUACUCACAGUAUUUUGAUUAACUGGUAGAGUUUCUCAUGGUUUUGUUGUUCUUGGGAGAAUCAUCAGGUCUUGUUUUACUCCAGAUGCUGUGACCUUUACUUCUUUGAUUAAAGGUUUGUGUGCGGAUAGUAGAAUCAUGGAGGCCGCCGCAUUGUUUACAAAACUUAGAGUGUUUGGUUGUGAGCCUGAUGUUUUUACAUACAAUACGUUGAUUAAUGGAUUGUGUCGAACUGGCCAUACAAUUGUUGCUCUAAAUUUAUUUGAAGAGAUGGCUAAUGGAAAUGGGGAAUUUGGUGUCGUUUGUAAGCCAGACACUGUUACAUACAACACUAUCAUCGAUGGUGUUUGUAAGGAAGGUUUCGUGGACAAGGCCAUGGAACUGUUUCUGCAGAUGAAGGAUGAGAAUAUUAACCCCAAUGUGGUUACUUAUAACUCUUUGAUUCACUAUUUCUCUCAUGCUGAUGAUUGGAAUGAGGCUAAACGUUUGUUUAUUAAGAUGAUGGACCAAGGUGUGCACCCUAAUGUUGUGACUUUCAGUGUGAUCGUGGAUGAGCUCUGCAAGAAUGGGAAGAUGGAAGAAGCAAGUAGGUUGUUGGACCUGAUGAUUCAGAUUGGUGUGCAUCCAAACACUUUUGUCUAUAACACAUUAAUGGAUGGGUUUUGCUUGACGGGUAGAGUUAAUCGUGCAAAGGAACUAUUUGUUUCUAUGGAGAGUAACGGGUGCAUGCAUGAUGUUGUUAGUUACACCACAUUAAUAAAUGGGUACUGCAAGACUAAGGAUGUAGAGGAAGCUUUAAAUCUUUAUAGGAAAAUGCUGUCUAAAGGAAUUAGGCCAACAGUUGUUACAUAUAGCACCUUGUUUCUUGGCCUUUUUGAAGUACACCAGGUUGAGCAUGCUUUAAAACUGUUUGAUGAGAUGCAGCAUAAUGAUGUAGCAGCCGAUACAUAUAUAUACAAUACCUUUAUUGACGGGCUCUGCAAGAAUGGUUUUGUUCUAGAGGCACUGGAAUUAUUCUGUGCUAUAGGAAAUAGCAAGUAUGAACUUGAUAUCAUAUCCUACAGCUGCCUCAUUGAUGGAUUGUGUAAAAUAGGCAAACUGGAAACUGCUUGGGAACUGUUUCAAAGUUUGUCUCGUGUAGGCCUAUUGCCAAAUGUUGUAACAUAUAACAUCAUGAUCCAUGGGCUUUGUAAUGAUGGGCAAAUGGACAAGGCACAUGAUUUGUUUCUUGAUAUGGAAGCAAAAGGUGUGGAACCCGAUUGUGUCAUAUUUAAUACGAUUAUGCUGGGUUUCAUCCGCAAUAAUGAGACAUCAAAAGUUAUUGAACUCCUUCAGCGAAUGGAUAAUAGAAAUGUAAUGCCAGACGCAUCUAUACUUUCAAUUGUUGUGGACUUGCUUGUAAAGAAU
rnacentral:lncRNA from 1 species